UCCCUUAUAGCUUUGAAACUGAUUUUUUCAUAUAGUUUCUAAUCAUGCAGCAACGCGCGGGCAAUGUUUCUAGUGGUUACCUAGUUGUGAGGCUUUAAAAAAAAUAGUAAAAUUGUUUUGUAUUUAAUUACUAUAUUGCCUGCAAUUCUUAUCUUGGUUGUUUUUCUUUAGUUUUGUUAAUGUUAAUUUUGUCUUUUCACCAUCUUUUAGUUGAUAAAGAGAAUUUUAUUAAUAAGUAGUUUAGAUAAUGAAUAUAAAUUUUGAAAAUACAGAGUCUCAUAUAAAAUUAAUGAAUACUAGAGUAUAUGAAUCUACAUAUACAAAGAGGGAAAAAACAAAAAUGAUGAACUUUCAUAAUACCGAAAUUGACCUUCUCUCAUUAGAAAUUUAAAAAACAAAUAAAUAAAUAUUCACAAAAACAACCCAAGGUAGUGAGCCUGGGUGAUUAGUAAGUUCAUUAUUUUUUGAAAUAUAUUUUUUAUAAAAAAUAAAUAUUAAAUAAAAAAGAGUUCAAUGCUGCACGUGUAUGACAAGAGGUUAGUGAUAAGAAAGAGAGAUAAAAAUAAAGUUGUAAGAAAAUAAAUUGCGGUUUGUAAAAAAAAGAUGAAUAAGUUUGGGGUGUUGUGACCCACGACUAGGGAUGGGCAAAUACCCAUUGGUUAUGCGUAACCGCGGUUAUUUGUAUAUUUAAAUUUGACGGUUACGGUUAUGGGUAACUGUUUAGAGGGUAACCGCGGUUAUCAGUCCAUUUAAAUUUAACGGUUACGGUUAUGGGUAUAACUAUUUACCCGUGAAAUUUAAAUGGGCGGUUAUGGGUAUUACUCGCUGUUAUAAACGGGUACCCAUUUAACCAUUUAUUUUAAUAUAUGUAAAACUAAAAAAAAAAAAUUAGUUUCUAACUAGGUUUAGUAUCCCCAGAUAUAUUUGGUAAUAAAGGCCCAUAUAAUAUAUAUAGAUGCCUCACUUGAGAGAAAAAUAUAGUUGAUAGAAUGGGCUAAUGUUUAAUAUAUGUGAUUGAAUGUGCUAAAGUAUUAAAGUGUUCGAUAGUUUUGUUUUAGAGUCUUUUGGAGUUUUGACAAAUUCAAGAUAAUGAUUAGCUUGAGCAUUUAGAAACAUGUUAUUAUCAGAUGAUACAUACCUAUAUAUAUAUAUAUAUAUAUAUAUAUAUUCAAUUGGCCUCGAGUUUUCAAUAAAUAUUUGACCCCAAAAUUAGAAAUCGAUUAAAUGGCUUGGAUCGAUGAACAUAUGUUUCUAAAUAAAAAUCCAAAUAUUUAUCAAAUUAGCUUAUUAGCAGAUUGAUGCGUACUUACAUAUAUAUAUAUAUAUAUAUAUAUAUACACAGAGAGCUUAAGGGGAGGGAUCCCCAUUUUUUGAAAAAAAUGGGGAUUAGGUGUGGGGCCCACUUCACAUCAAAUUUCAACGAUCCGAACCGUCUAUUUUGUUAGUCUCGAUUCAUAGAUCAUCCUUGCAAAAAUUCAAUUCAAUCCGAAACCAUUUGCCUAUUUAAUUAUCAAUAUCAAAUUUCAUAUUUUCUUAUAUAACAAAGUAUUCGUUCAUUUCCUUGAACCCAAUUAGAUGUCUUAAACCUUUCCAAUUUAGCUAAUAUUUUGCAAGGAUGAUCUAUGAAUCGAGACUAACAAAAUGGACGGUUCGGAUCGUUAAAAUUAGAUUGAAGUGGGCCCCACACCUAAUCCCCAUUUUUUUCAAAAAAUGGGGAUCCCUCCCUUUAAGCUCUCUGUGUAUAUAUAUAUAUAUAUAUAUAUAUAUAUAUAUAUGUAUGUAUAUGUAUACAAGAAUAUUAAUUAACCUACAACCAUGCAUGAUUCUUGUAAUAGAUUGACCGUCAAAUAAUUGGGAGACAUCGCAUAUAUUCAUAAAUAAUAUUGCCGUUAAUAUAAAAAUACAUGUUAAAUGUACUUACAACGGUAUUUAAUAGUUAGAAAAAAGAAAAUUAUGACAAAUUUCUUUUUAAUUUUCAAGUUGUUAAAAAAAUAGGUAGACGGGUAAAAAAAAAAAGGUAAACGGGUACGCGGUUAUGGGUAAAUGGGUAUGCGGUUAUGGGUAUGGUUAACCGUUUAUAAACAGUUAUGGGUAUGGGUAUACCCGUUUAUGUAAAUACACAACGGGUAAACGGUUAUGCGGGUAAAAGCUUAAACGGUUAUGAGAAAAUAACCGCGGUUAUCCGCCUGCCAUAACCGUUGCCCAUCCCUACCCACGACCUCUCGCACCUGGAACGAGAACCAUACCAUUAGACCAAACAUCCACUAUUUUUACGCUUGACCUAUAUUCUUAUCUUAAACAAGAAUAGUUUUAGCUUCUUAAUCCAUAAUUGUACACUGCCUGAGCUACUUUCCGUUUUUCAAAGAUGCAGUUCAUACACGAAGACGUUGAUGUUUGUCUUCGACGUUUUGUCGGUGUGUGUCUGGGCCUAAGUUUGAUGACAUUGUCGGUUGGAUUUUAGAAAAGGAAUGAAAGGAAUAGUGGCUUUGCUAAUAAUGCAGAGAGUGAAGGAUAUAAAUGAAAUAAUACACAUUUUUGCAUUAAUGCUGCACAAGUAGUUACGAAAUAUUUAAAAAGCUUCGGGUUCGAUGCUUUGAGCUGGUUAGUCUGUUUAACUGUGGUUAUAGGUAGGGUGAAAUUUCUAAUGUAAUCUUCAACUGUGCUUCAAUAUAAUUAACAGGAGUAAGCGUUAUUGCUUGUUUCCAAUACUCGGCGGCUUGAUCGAACCAAGCCUGCGCAAUUUCGGAAUCUCCUUGUUGAACGGCCUGUUCUCCCUAGUCGGAAUAGGGGGGGCGGUAAAUUCCUUCCCUUAGAACCGUACUUGACAGUUUCCGACCUCAUAUGGCUCAACAGUCAAAUUCUUUUGGUGUCCUAUUUUUUUAAUACCCUAUCUAAUUGAAUGAGAUUUCUCAAAGACAUAUCCUAUUCUUUUUUUCUCGAGUUAACCAAAAGAAAGAGGUCUCUUCGGACUCGGAAGGGGUGAAUAAUUGUGGCAUGCCAUCAGUUGUUACUCUUUUAAAAGAAAAGAAAUACUCAAAAAGCUUUACUUCAGUUUGCCGUACAUUUUGUAGCUAGGUUCGAACUUAUGAGAAAAGCAUAUUUACUUAACAUAAACGAGAGAAGGAAAGAAUCAGAAAACUUAAAAUGGGAGGAAGUGAGGAAGUGAAUAAGAUCAUCUAGCUCCAUUAAUUGAUAUGAUUCUUGAUUUUUUGUUUUUAUUACAGAUUUUAAGGUAAAAUUCACAUUUUUGCGAUUUUAUAUGUGUUAGUUGUUAGGAUGCCAAAUGGCAUCUCUGCAUUGGAUAUUAAUUUGUACAGUUGUCAUGUUCAUUGGUUAUUGGGUAACUAAUAAUUAUAAAUUUGUUUUAGGAGAGGGAGCAUUUUUGCUCACCACCAUAAACUAUGGUGUAUGCUCACCAUACACCUAAUCAAUUAGCACGUGUUCUUUCACUUAAUCUUAGUUAAUUUUUUUCAAAAUUGAAAAACUAACAUUUAAUGUGAAAGUUAACUAGAGCUAGGUGAAAGAACACGUGUCAAUUGAUUAGGUGUAUGGUGAGCAUACACCAUAGUUUAUGGUGGUGAGCAAAAAUGCUCCCGCCUUUGAAUUGCUUGUAUACUAGCAAAUUAGCAAUUGUACCCAAAGCUCCAUGUUGAAGAUAUUGAUUGGUGUUUUGGUUCUUGAGCAAUGACAAUUAUUAUUCUUGUAUAUACGAGUCAAGAUUCGUUGUCUAGCAUUGGUAAACAAGUUAUGUAGAAUGAUUCUCGUGCCUACGUUUUAGUAAAUAUUUGAAGCUGAAUUGAUUCAUGUUUUUAUUCGCUGCACAUAAACAUGUUCUUACUUGAUAUGCAUAGUUUACAAAUAAAAUCCGUUGCAGAUGAUUCCACAUAUGAUUUAACCUUGAAUCCAAGCGUGCUAAAGAAAUGAAUAAUAAAUAAAACACUGUCACAACUGUUAGUAUACGAAAAUUUAAGAUUUUUUUCUCUCUUCCUUACAUGGUCGUAUCAAUGACUUAAUACUAUAGGUACACUUAGAGCACUUCCACCGUGCUCUUUUGCCCUAUGGGCAGGCCCCAUUUGCAAUCCAAUCCCCUUCAAAGUGGUGCCAGCCCAUUCGAGCAAUUAAGCUGAGGGGGAGCCCAUAGGAGAGCUUAGGCACAAGUCCAAGGCUUGAGCGCCUGAGGGGGAAUGAUGCAAGGCUGACGUCAGCCAUGUUAUAAAAUAUUUUGCGUCAGGCAUGUGCAUAACACACGAGCAUGGGGAGUGCGUUACCGACAAGAUUUUAGGCGGUGGGGCCGACAUUGUAGCCCACUAAGUAGCAUUGCAUCUGGACCGUUUGAUUUCCAAAUCAACGACCUAGAUUUUUUCCGUUUUAAAAAUUAAAAAAUAAGAAAAAAAUAUAAAUGUUUUGGAAGGGACACGUGUCACAAUCUGGACUGUUGGAUUUCAAAUUUUUUUGUAAUCCGACAGCUCAACUUAAUUAAGUUAAUAAAAAUAAAUAAAAAAAUCUGAAAAAAUUAAAAAAAAAUUAAAAAUUAGAAUUUUUUUUCUAUAAAUACCUUACCAUUUUCUUUCAGAUAAUGACACAUGGACGUGACGAGAUCAGUUAAAAAUCCAACCCGAAAUUAAAAAUAAAAUUAUUUUUUAUUAUUUUAGAACAAAUGAAAUACUAAUAUUUUAUUGCCUAUUGUCAUGGCUAUUCAGUUUAAGGGUGAAGAUGCAAAAGACAAUUAUUGUUUAUUAAAGACAAUUACUAUUCACUGGAGGGGAUUGAAUUGCCUAUUGCCAAUGGGAGCCUUUACACAUUAAAAGUGCUCUUAGGAGCAAUUCCACCCAUAAUCAAGGGCAAGUGCUUCUGGAUUGCCCGUUAAACUAAAAAAUGUCCUCCAGCAAGUGGUGAGCCAAGCCAAACCCGACCCAAUGUUCGUGCAAGAAUUGCUUAGCCUUUCGUUCCGCCCACAUUCCUUUAUUUUGUACAAAAUACCUACAGUUGUCCCCUGUAUCUACAGCUUGAUACAGGACUCAAGCCCACACGUGGAAUGAUGUCUAACCCCAUAUUGGGAGAAAUUUUUCAUUGUAACGGGAACACGGGUGGUACACCACAUCUUUUUAUGUAAGUGGUGGGAAAUUUUAUUUUUUAAGUUAUUAACUUUUUAACACAUACAAAUCCUACCAUUUGUAUAAUAACAUGUGGUGUACCCCCUCGUGUGCAGGUCACACUGAAAAAUUUCUCCCAUGUUGGCAAGUUUCUUGUUAGGGGGUGUUUGUUUGCCUUCUUUAGCUCUCACUGGACUGGCUUAGAUUAAAAAUUAGUGCAAUCCGUGUUUGUUCAUUGGCGGGACUAAGUUUAAUGGGACAAGGGAUGACUCGCCUCGACUAAAUCCCUCACCAUGAGGUCUUAGCAAGGCCCCCCAAAAACAAUAGGAUUGCUAGUCCCGUCUCCCUCAUCUGCAAGCAGCGUCCCACAAACCCACAUGAGCAGCAUCAACCCCCUUCUCCUGUGACCAAACCAAAAACAGUUGUCGCUGAUCUCCGUCAUCUCGCAAACCAAGCGCCCUUUUACCAUCUGGGUCGGUGAUUUGGGGGCUUUUGCCAUAUAGGUUGACCUGAACGACGGCAAAGACGGGUCUUUUGCUACCUCUGCUUCGCUUUGCCCCUCCCAUCUCCUUCUUCCCUGCUUCCCACAACCAGAAAACCCAAAAAAAUUGAACCCAUAAAAGCCAGAAGACCGAACCCAGAAAGCCCAAAAAGAGAUGGAGAGACGGAGAGGGAGGAGAGAGUAACUUUGGGGACGAUUUUGCAGGAAAAUGGUUUUGAAGUGUUUUGCAGAAAAAAAAAUGGAAUUGAACUUUGAAGCAUUUUGAAGGAAAAAAUAUGGGAGGAAAGGAAAUAAUGGGCGAUGAAACCAAAGAGGAAGAAGGUACUCUCUAGAGAGAGGUAGAAGCGUAGAGAGUGUUUAGAAUUUUUAGAAGGAAAAGGUUGAAUUCAUAAUAAAAUAUUAUUAGAUAUAUAUUAAAUAUUAAAUAUUAUAAUUUAUUAAUUAUUUUAUUUUUUAGUUCGAUACUGCAUCAAACAUUUCACUAACUUAAUCUAGUUUAGUCUAAUCUAAGCCAAUCUAACUUAGUCCCCGAAGCUAGUCCAGUUAAAAAUAUUCCGGUACAACAAACACACCCUUAGGAGCUUGAGUUAAUAUUUUGUACGAAAUACCAAUAAAUUUGCCUUUGCCACUAUGCUCUCUGACUGCUCUCAUUCGAGCAACUUAACUUUUUCCAUGUGCUCUAUAAUUCCACAAUUUUAGAACCCACCCCACCAUACCCAUACGAAUAAUCAAUUUCAUAAAAUUAUAGCAGUUUUUGAAUUUUGAUCCAGUUGGAGUUUAAUCAUUGAAAUAAAAAUUUGUGACCAUUAGUUUUUGUAUUUUUACUGUGUGUGAAGUGAUGGUAGUAGGGAAAAGAAUCCUAUACUCCCUCUGUUAUAACUUCCGUCCCUAAUUUUCCUCUUAAAAUCCAUUAAUCUGACUAAAAGUUCUAAUAGUGUUAUUAGGAGUAUUGCUCCAUAUUGUGACGAGUUUCGAAACCAAUACUCACAUAUUUUUAAUUUAGGAACCAAAAUUUCAAUUGAAUGAAAGCUUCAGUUAGACCAAAUACAAAUACAUUACAAAUUCAAUUUUCUCUAGCUAAUUUCAAUUUUGACAAAGAAAAGAGAUGAUGAGGUUUCAAUUUGAACUUCCAACUCCAUUAGCCUCCUAUUGUAAUUGAACAGGCACAAGAUGAGUGUGUGUCCACAUUUAAUACAUAAAUUGGACUAUUGAUGAGAGGUUGUUAUGAAAAAUUGGUUGAUAGUUUAGUUGAUAUGAUGAUCACGUGAAUUAGGUAUUUGCUUGCAAAUGCCACCAUUCGUUUCCUCUUUUAGUCUCCCAACUGUGACAAAUUAAACCACCAAGCCCCAAUAAAAGAAAAUAAAUGGGGGCUCAUGAGGAAAGGGCGCGCUCUAUUGAAGAUUGCAAUUCGAAAAUUUGACAUAAUAAAUUAUAAUUUAUAUUGAAUAGUUUCACUUGUAAUUACAGUUGUCUUUUUUAUAAAAAUCAACACUUGUCGAGCUGUGCAAAUAAUUAAGUUGAGAUAAUAUUGGUGCAAGUAAUUAAGUUGAGUCAAUAUUAGUGUAAUUACAUUGAAUGGUUCACCUCUCAUUCUUGACCAAGUUUGAUUCUCGUUUACAUUCCAAGAGUUGAUGUAUUCCAAUACGUGCAUAAAUAAUCAUGCAUGUGUUAGAUGGUGUAGGCUUGAUAUACAUUUUAUAUGUUUGUCACUCUUAUUUCACAAGUUGGGCUAUUCUUGCAUGUGCAUAAAUAAUCUCACACAUGUCAAACAGUGUAAGUUUGAUAUACAUUGUUGACUCAUUCCCUUACAGUUUAAGUAUUUAGGGACAUGAGUUGAUCAUAUAACAUAAAUUACUUGGGUAAAUUAAACGUGGGUUUGUGUAAAAAGCAUGGUAUUAAUGGGAUCCGUGUAAGUAGGUUUAGACAGAUAAGAUAUGCAGUUGGGAGUUCUUGAAUGAAUGGCAUUGUGAUAUGGAGGAUGAAGUCGGUAUGCACGUUACGGUCCUUUUCUUCUCCCCUAAACGCAAGGUCACCCCUAAAGAAAGGGUCCCUACCCUAACCUCAUGUGAAGCCCUUAAAUUUCAGUGUCGAUGUGCUUUUAGAUCAAAGUGCUUAUAAACCCUAUAUAAUAAGCUUUGUAAAGAUGGGUAAUACCAACAGCUUAUAGAAUAAGCCGUUUUCUUCUUGAUCUUUUCUCUCCCCCUUACGUCUGUGUUGGGGGUGCGGUUCCAAUGAAGAUUCUCCAGAAGUGCUUCUGGCUGUGUCUGCUUUUUGUGAGCUUUAGCCAUGCUGAGCAGACAGUUGAGGUAGUAGGGGUUGGAGAAUGUACUGACUGUGCUCGGAAUAACAUUAAGACUAGCCAUGCCUUUUCUGGUAACAAAAUUUCUGUUUGCAUUUUCUGUCAUAAGUUGCUAAUAUUUUAGGUAUUUUUGCAUUGCCAUGCACAUUACUAUGUUGCAAUAUUGCAUGAACUUCAAAAGUGGACAGCAAAGUGACUAUAUUUGGAAUAGUAAUGUUAGUGAGACUAAAUUUGUACAUAAAAUUUUGUAAACUAAAUGACAUGAAAGUUGAUGAUUGGAUUAUUACUUAAGUAUUGAGAAAUAUGCUCAUAAACUUAACAGUUUCACUGAAGUUUCCGCUUUCUAUGUAUGGAACUUAUAUAUAGCUUAGAGCACUUGCUCAUACACUUAACUCUUGCUUUCUUCCUCUUGUGAACUAAGAAACCAAUUAGGGUUUAUUCUUGACCUAAAUUGUUAUUAAACUUAGCUACAAUUUUACAGGUCUUCGUGUAACAAUUGACUGCAAGCCCGAAAAUGGGCACUUCAAAACAAGAGGAGUUGGGGAGCUCAAUGAACAGGGAGAGUUCAAAGUCUCACUUCCUAAAGAGAUUGUGAAAGAAGAAAACCAAUUAAAAGAGGAAUGUUAUGCCCAACUCCACAGUGCAUUAGCUGCCCCUUGUGCUGCCCAUGACGGCCUAAAAUCCACGAAAAUAGUCUUCAAGUCCAAGGCAAGUGAUGGGACGCAAACCUUUGGAGUGGCUGGUGGAAAUCUCAAAUUUUCCCCUGUGACUUGCACUUCUGCCUUCUUUUGGCCUCACAAGAAGCACCCACUUUUUUCCAAAUUGCCACCUUUGCCUAAGUUGCCACCUUUCCCUAAAUCUCACCCAAUUUUUGGACACCCAUUCCCAUUCCCUCCUAAGGUGUUACCUCCAUUCCCACCUAAGGUCUUCCCUCCAAAAAUUCCAAUCUUCAAGAAGCCUCUUCCUCCACCAGUGCCAAUCUACAAGAAGCCUCUCCCUCCACCAGUGCCGGUAUACAAGAAGCCGGUCCCUCCCCCCGUCCCGGUCUACAAGAAGCCUCACCCUCCGCCCGUCCCAAUCUACAAGAAACCUCUCCCUCCACCUGUCCCAGUCUAUAAGAAGCCUAACCCUCCACCAGUCCCAGUAUACAAGAAACCUUACCCUCCACCAACACCAAUCUACAAGAAACCUCUCCCUCCUCCCGUCCCAGUCUAUAAGAAGCCUAACCCUCCACCAGUCCCAGUAUACAAGAAACCUUGCCCUCCACCAAAACCAAUCUACAAGAAACCUCUCCCUCCACCUGUCCCAAUCUAUAAGAAGCCUCUUCCACCACCAGUUCCAGUAUACAAGAAGCCACUUCCACCACUAGUCCCCAUAUACAAGAAGCCAUUUCCACCACCAGUCCCAAUAUACACAAAGCCACUUCCACCACCAAUCCCAAUAUACAAGAAGCCACUUCCACCACUAGUCCCCAUAUACAAGAAGCCACUUCCACCACUAGUCCCCAUAUACAAGAAGCCAUUUCCACCACCAGUCCCAAUAUACACAAAGCCACUUCCACCACCAAUCCCAAUAUACACAAAGCCACUUCCACCUCCCAUCCCAUUCUACAAGCCAAAGCCACAUCCAUUCUUUAAGCCUCUCCCUCCAUUGCCAAAGAUUCCUCAUCCAUUCUUUAAGAAACCACCACUCCCACCACUCCACCCAAAAUAUUACUUCCCCCACCCAAAGCCCAAGCUUCCUCUCAUCCCCAAAAUCCCAUAAAUCCUUCCCCCACCCAAAGAUUGGCAAGUUCCCACCCCUGCCACCUUUGGUUCCUCAAUAUCCCUAGGCUAUUGAAGUACUAUAUAUUCUUUCCAGCUGUAAGUAGAAGCUAGCAUCAACGUUGUGUGGUGAAGUGAAAGCAUGAAGCAAUUUAAGAUCACAAUAAAUUAAGCCUUCAAAAGUUCAACUGUUCAAACCUUGAAGAGAAGCAAAUAUCAGAGAGAUAGCUGAUAGAGUGGAAGACUGUUUAUUUAUAAGUUAUUAUUUGACUUGUUUGGAUUGUGUUUCUUUACAUUGUAAUAUCACAAUUAUUUUUGAAAAAUUUCAGGUGGAUAUUACUUAUGUUACAGUGUUACUUUUCAUGUUUUUCGUGGUAAAUAUUUACUAUUCUGUUGUCAUUCCCCUUGAAUUUACAGUGGUGGAAAUUCAAGUUUCAUGUAUUUUAUGUGGGUGUUAUAUCGCAUACAAGUUAACCAUGACUCAUCAGAAAAGUAAAACCUUAUGAAUCCGAUUCUUUAGCUACUAAAUCUUUCGUUUCAUUAGACAUUAGUUGUAAGCAUUUAUCAUUUAUAACACAUCCAAUUUUUUGAUACACGCGAUAUUAGGAGGACGAGUGGUUUGAAAGUAUGGGCAAUGCUAUAUUGCUUGUGACAUACAGAUUCAAUGCGUUUUCUUCUCAGCACAAGAUCUAAUGUAAACAGAGUUAGUAUUAUCGGUUUCGAAGGGGCCUAUCUAGUUCACAUGUCGACGUCUCAACCAAAUAUAAAAGGGUAUGCAUGCAUGCAAUUGAUGCAUGGAUUGAUCCUUGGCUUAGGUCGUUUUCCCAGCAGAAGAUUUUUCAUGCUGCUUUCAAGUUUGUACAAGACACUUUGAAAAGUAUGUGGCCCAUAAAAUUAGUAGGUCUGUACUGGUUUGACACUAAAGUGUUUUGAAUAAAAGUUGCUUAUUUUAUAAUUUUUUAUGUUCAAGGUGUUUUGUAAAUUAAAGAAAAAAGAAUUAUUUUGAAAGCUGUGAUGAUUGACAGCAGAAAUCACCAGAAAAGCUGAAGCUGCUAAAUGCUGUUUUGAAAAACUAGGUUUUUUUCAAAACAUGCGGAGUUACGUUGCAUCUUUAAUGAAACUUUCUAAAGUCCAAUAACACCCUCGUCAUUUUUAUAAAAUGACAAUCGUUGUCCCUCUUCUUGCGUCGCCCACUCUCCCGAUCAUCCCUCUCCUCCCUUCUUUUUCCUAAGACUUCCUCCCUUUCCCAAAUCAGCUCAAUUUGAGCAGCACCACCAGCAACCCUUGUCAAUGGGGCUGAAACACCUCACCCCCUCCCAGAUGUUGAAUUGUGGCCAAGUGACCAUCACCUUUCCUAAUAAACAAACCAAAAGAAAAAAAAAAGGGGAAAUGACAACAUGAUUAUGUUUCCUUGUUUUGGGGAAAAGAAGUGAAAUUUGUCUAAAGUUUUUUCUUUGGUCCAUGUGAGAAGUCACGGGACUCUUUGGUUUUUAACUAGCAGCAAUAGCUGCCUUUUGGGGUGGGAGAAAGGUUGUCGCAUAGAAGAAAAAAAUUAGAAGGGAGCAGCAGAAAGAAGAAGAGAGGUACGCAGCUCCCAUAUAAGAAAGAAAGGUGAUUUUCUUUCUUGGUUAGUUUUCACUCCAUCAAAGUUUUAUUGUUGUAAUAGCUUUGAGCUUUGUAUAGAGAAGAAAUUAAUCACUAUAUUUCUUUCUCUAUUUGUUUCUUUAGUGUGUGAGAGUUAUUGGGUGUAUUGGGUUAUUUGGGUUGAGAGAUUGCCAACACUUUGUAAACUCCCAUUUGGUUGAUAGUGGAUUAUUGGGUGAGCUCCUACUGCUCCGAGGACGUACUCCAGUUACACUGACUGUUGAGGAACCUCGUUAAAAUCUUGGUGUCUUUAAUAUUUUGUUCUUGCAUUUUCAUUUGAUAAAUUUCCUGUGGGUUAGCUUGAGUUGGUUCCAACGGGUUUGGUGCUAUCCUAGCACAACAAUUGGUAUCAGAGCACUAGUUGCUCUUGGGUACUGUUUAGUUGCCAAAGAUGUCAGACGGGCAAGAUGAGAAUCCUUUUGGAAGCAGCUUCGGGUUUGCAAGAACUACGGUGCAAAAUGCAAAGUUCGAAGUGGAAAAGUUUGAUGGCACAAACAACUUUGGGAUGUGGCAAUGUGAGGUCAAAGAUGUGUUAGCUCAACAAGAUCUACUUGCCGCUUUGGGAGAGAAGCCGGAAGCUAUGUCGAAGCCGGAAUGGGAAAAAUUAAAUUUGUAGGCUUGCUCUUCAAUUCGGUUGUGCCUUGCAAAAACUCAGAAGUAUUUUGUGAUGCGGGAGACAUUAGCAAGUGUGUUGUGGCAAAAAUUGGAAGACAAGUAUAUGACAAAUAGUGCAGAGAACCGGCUACACUUGAAGAAAAAGCUCUACCGCUUCCAAUACAAAGAAGGUACAAAAAUGAUUAGACACCUUGAUGUUUUUAAUAAGUUGAUUGCCGACUUGUUAAAUUUAGAUGAGGAUAUUAAGGAUGAAGAUAAGACCUUAAUAUUGUUGAAUUCCUUGCCGGACUCUUAUGAGCAUUUUGUUACCACUAUUAUGCAUGGUAAAGAAACUGUGAAAUUUGAAGAUGUGUCAAAUGCCUUGAUGAAUUAUGAAAUGAGGCAUAGAGAUAAAAAUCAUGAUAGUACCUCUGAAGCUUUAUUUGUUAGAGGUAGAUCAUCGGAGAGAAGAUCAUCUUCUAGUAGGAAAAAAUCACAGUCUCGACUUAGAGGAAACUCUAAAGGUAGAAAACCUUUGGAAAGAGAUGAAUGUGCCUUUUGUCAUAAUAAGGGCCAUUGGAAGAAAGAUUGUCCUAGGUUGAAGACCAAAGGCAAAGAAAGUUCUGAAGCUAAUGUUGCUGAGGUUGAAACAGAUUUUUUUUUAUUUUGCUUUAACCACUUCCUCAUCAUUUGAUUGUGCUACUAAGUGGGUGUUGGAUACGGGUUGUACUCAUCAUAUGACUCCUCACAAGAAUUGGUUUUCAAGCUUGAAAGAGUUUGAUGGUGGAGUUGUGUUCAUGGGAGAUGACAAUCCUUGCACAACAAAAGGGAUUGGUACAGUUCGGUUGAAGUUGCAUGAUGUCAUGGUUAAAGAGUUGACAGGUGUUCGGUAUGUACCGAAUUUGAAGAAAAAUCUUAUUUCUUUGGGUACUUUGGAAUCCAAUGGCUUCAGUUUUCAUUCAGAUGGACAGACAUUAAAAGUUACUUAUGGUGCACUUGUUGUGAUGAAAGCUCCUCGAUGUGGCCAUUUGUAUUUAUUGCAGGGAAGCACUAUGACAGGUGAAGCAUCUGUAGUCUCUGAAAAUAUGGGCACAUCUGAUUCAGAUACUACUAGACUGUGGCAUAUGAGAUUAGGCCAUGCCGGUGAGAAAGCUCUACAAGGGCUUGUGAAAAACCGUCUUUUAAAAGGUGCCACGACUUGUAAGCUUGAUUUCUACGAGCAUUGUGUCUUGGGGAAGCAAACUAGAGUGAAGUUUGGUACUGCUGUACAUCAGACGAAGGGCAUUCUUGAUUAUGUGCAUUCGAAUGUUUGGGGUCCUACAAAGACUCCCUCUUUGAGUGGUAGACAUUGGUUUGUGACCUUUGUUGAUGAUUAUUCAAGAAGGUCUUGGGUUUACACUAUGAAGCACAAGAGUGAGGUAUUGAGCAUUUUCUUGAGUUGGAAGAAAAUGGUUGAGAACCAGACUGGGAGAAAGAUUAAGAUUUUGAGAUCGGAUAAUGGUGGUGAAUACACAUCCAACCCUUUCUUUAAAGUUUGCAAAGAGGAAGGAAUUGUGAGACAUUUCAGUGUUCGGGGAACUCCACAACAAAAUGGAGUUGCAGAAAGAUUGAAUCGAACCUUGCUUGAAAAGGUUAGAUGUAUGUUGUCUCAGUCAGGUUUAAGCAAGUCAUUUUGGGCAGAGGCAGUUAAUUAUGCAUGUCACAUCAUCAACCGGUUACCCUCAGCUGCUGUUCAGGGUAAGACACCAAUGGAGGUAUGGACUGGAAAACCUUAUUCUGAUUAUGACUAUAUCCGUAUUUUUGGUUCACCUGCUUAUUUUCAUGUGACUGAAAAUAAACUUGAUCCAAGAGCCAAAAAGGCUAUCUUUCUUGGUUUUAGUAGUGGUGUCAAAGGUUACAGGUUGUGGUGCCCAGAGAUGAAAAAACUUGUAAUCAGCAGAGAUGUGACAUUUGAUGAAGAAAGUAUGUACAAAGUCUCUGAGAAGAAUGUGAAAGAUGUCCAACAGGUGGAGCUUGAGAAAGUUGCCUCUGGUACUUCAAAUCCUAUUUCCGCUGAUGUCGAAGCCACUACAAGUGAAGAAGUUGGAGACCAUGAGGAUGUUGAAGAAGUUGAACUUGAAGAUUCUAUUCAAGUUGAAGAGGAAGUUUCACCUCAAGAGUCUAUUGCCAAGAACAGAGGAAAGAGACAAAUUACCAAGCCAGCUCGGUAUAGUAACUAUGUUUCUUUUGCUCUUCCUAUUAUCACUGAUGAGAUUCCAUCCAAUUUUGAGGAAGCUAUUGAGAGUGAAGAAAAUGAGAGGUGGUGCAAUGCCAUGGGUGAUGAGAUGAAUUCUCUCUUGAAGAACAAGACUUGGGAGUUAGCUAAAUUGCCUAAGGGCAAGAAAGCUAUCGGUUGCAAAUGGGUGUAUGCUAAAAAAGAAGAUGCUGAUGAGAAAAGCAAUGUGAGAUUCAAAGCAAGAUUAGUUGCUAAAGGGUAUGCACAAAAGGAGGGCAUUGACUACAAUGAAAUAUUUUCUCCAGUUGUGAAACACUCCUCAAUUCGUAUUAUGUUAGCUCUUGUUACACAGUAUGAUCUUGAGCUUGUGCAACUUGAUGUGAAAACGGCUUUCCUACAUGGUGAUUUGAAUGAAGAGAUUUAUAUGUGUCAACCGGAUGGGUAUAUAGUGAAAGGGAAGGAGAAUUUGUUUUGAAAAUUGAAGAAAUCACUUUAUGGCUUGAAGAAAUCUCCAAGGCAAUGGUAUUUAAGGUUUGAUAAAUUUAUGAGAGGCCAAAAUUAUUCUAGAAGUCAAUAUGAUCAUUGUGUGUACUUCAAGAAGUUGCAAGAUGGGUCUUUCAUUUAUUUAUUGAUAUAUGUUGAUGAUAUGUUGAUUGCCUCAAAGAAUGUUGAAGAGAUUGAGAAAUUGAAGAAACAAAUGAAGAACGAGUUCGAGAUGAAGGAUCUUGGUGAAGCGAAGAAGAUCCUUGGCAUGAAGAUCACUAGAGAUAGAGCAAAGGGUUUCGUCAGUUUGAAUCAAAGACAAUACCUUGAGAAGUUGAUUCGGAAGUUUGGAGUUCAUGAUUCAACCAAACCGGUUAGUACCUCUUUGGCUCCUCAUUUUAAAUUGAGUUCUCUACAGUGUCCUAAAACUGAUAAAGAGAAGCUGCAAAUGAAAAAUAUACCAUAUGCAAAUUUGGUUGGUAGUUUAAUGUAUGCAAUGGUAUGCUCUAGACCGGAUAUUGCUCAUGCAGUUGGCAUGGUGAGUCGAUAUAUGCAUAAUCCAGGUAAAGAGCAUUGGCAAGCAGCUAAGUGGAUAUUGAGGUAUCUCCAUGGUACUCGAGACGUUGGUUUAUGCUUUGAGAGAGAUGACUCUGGUAUUGGUCAUUUUGCAGUUGGUUAUGUUGAUUCAGAUUAUGCAGGUGAUCUAGAUGGAAGGAAGUCUACUACAGGCUAUGUGUUUACUAUGGCUAAAGGACCAGUUUGUUGGAGGUCCAUUUUGCAGUCGUCUGUUGCCUUGUCUACUACAGAAGCUGAAUAUAUGGCAGUUGCUGAAGCUAUAAAGGAGGCCAUUUGGAUAUAUGGGCUGAUUAGAGAUUUGGGGGUUGAUCAGAAACAGGUGGAGGUACAUUGUGAUAGUCAGAGUGCCAUUUAUUUGGCUAAGUAUCAGGUUCAUCAUGCGAGGACCAAGCACAUAGAUGUGCGUUAUCACUUUGUUCGUGAAAUUGUUGGUGAAUGAGAAAUCAUUCUCCAGAAGAUUCCAACUAAAGACAACCCCGCUGAUAUGUUGACUAAGGUUGUUGGUGUUGCCAAGUUUGUUCAUUGUUUGAACUUGGCUCACAUUUUGCCUAUAUAAAGAAGGCGUUGAGCAGUAGGAGUUUUGGAGCAUUUGGCUCGGCAUGAGUUGUUCUCUUGCUAGUGUUUGGGAGUGAUGUUGUGUGUUAAUUGUGUUGGUUGACUUAUUAUGGCGUUUUUCGGAACUUGGCCAAGGUGGAGAUUGUUGAAUUGUGGCCAAGUGGCCAUCACCUUUCCUAAUAAACAAACCAAAAGAAAAAAAAAAGGGGGGGGAAAGGACAACAUGAUUAUGUUUCCUUGUUUUGGGGAAAAGAAAAGUGAAAUUUGUCUAAAGUUUUUUCUUUGGUCCAUGUGAGAAGUCACGAGACUCUUUGGUUUUUAACUAGCAGCAAUAGCUGCCUUUUGGGGUGGGAGAAAGGUUGUCGCAUAGAAGAAAAAAAUUAGAAGGGAGCAGCAGAAAGAAGAAGAGAGGUACGCAGCUCCCAUAUAAGAAAGAAAAGUGAUUUUCUUUCUUGGUUAGUUCUCACUCCAUCAAAGUUUUAUUGUUGUAAUAGCUUUGAGCUUUGUAUAGAGAAGAAAUUAAUCACUAUAUUUCUUUCUCUAUUUGUUUCUUUAGUGUGUGAGAGUUAUUGGGUGUAUUGGGUUAUUUGGGUUGAGAGAUUGCCAACACUUUGUAAACUCCCAUUUGGUUGAUAGUGGAUUAUUGGGUGAGCUCCUACUGCUCCGAGGACGUACUCCAGUUACACUGACUGUUGAAGAACCUCGUUAAAAUCUUGGUGUCUUUAAUAUUUUGUUCUUGCAUUUUCAUUUGAUAAAUUUCCUGUGGGUUAGCUUGAGUUGGUUCCAACGGGUUUGGUGUUAUCCUAGCACAACACCAGAUCCACCAGAUCCAGUCCCAACCCCAACUCCAAAUCUUUUGGGAUAAUUACCACCAACAAGUUUCUCAGCUGUCGUCUGGGAUUUGUCGAUCUGAGCGGGAGGUUCAAGCAUGUGCAGGUUCAUUACUGCAGGUGCAGGUGAGGGAGAGGAGAAAGGGUGGAGAAAAUGAGGGAGAAAGAGAGGAGAGAGGAAGGUUAAUUUCUGCAAACCCAUAAGAGAGAGGAUGGUGAGAAUGGAGAGGAGAGAGAAAGGUUAGUUUCUGCAAAAUUCAAAGGAUAGGUGACUGAGAAAAUGAGGAGGGGAGAGACGGGUGUGUCCAUAGAAUAUUUUUUUUGUUAUCUUAAAAUAAAUCAUAAAGUCAUAUUUAACAUCAGGGCCGGCCCUGAGUAUUUAAGGGUCUUUGCAAGACAUAGAUGGAGGCCCCGAGUAUUUUUUUUAAUGUUAUUUUCUUUUCUUUUUUGAUUUUUUUUAAUCUAUAAAACUAAUAUAUUACAAGUUACUACAAUGAAAAUAAGUUGUUUGAUUGGCCAUUUUUUUUAUCCUUACCUUUAAAGGUCCUGAGUUCAAUACAUGUUGGAUACAUUUUUGUUAUCUCAUUUUUAAGUUUGCAAAUUUGCAAAAGCUUAAAAAAAUAGCAAAGCAAUGUCAUUGGGAUUCGAACCCAGCACAUGGGCUACAAGGUAUAAAAACUAAACCAAUAGCGCUAGAACAACAUACAUGAAUUUCCUUUGCCUCUAAUUUAUUUUAUAUGCAUUUGUAUACAUGUAAUGAAAAUUUGGGGCCCUUCCGAAUCGAGGACCCUGUGUGGUGGCACCUUUUGCACACCCUCAGGCCCGACUCUGUUUAACAUCAUACUCUUUUUAGUCAUUUAACACAAUCCAAGCAAUUUUACCAAAAGUUUGUCAAAUACUUAAACACUGUUUUUUUUUUUUGUUAAAAAUACUUUUGGAAUAAAAGUUUACCAAAUACUCAACUGCUUUAUUUUACAGUUGUUUAUUUUCAUAGCAUAACAUAAGCAUUUUUUUUUUAACACAGCAACACCAAUGAUAAUUUAUGAGCCAGUAUGGGCGCCUUUGAAGUUAUGAAAGAAAACUUAUUCAUCGCAACCAUUACCAUAUUAAUACAUAAUUAUUAGGGCUGGGUUCAGUUGGUAAACCGUGCUAAAUUUCAUGUGCCACCUGCUAGCCACAUAUACAUAAUUACCAAAAAUAAGUUACCGCUAGCCAACCGUCUUCUUGCGAUUUCCAAAAAUUUGUUUAGCCAAAAUUAUUGGUUGGUUCAGUUGAUAAAUGGCACAACCGAUGGUUUACAAAUAAGCUACAAAAACAACAGCUCAAGACCAUACACCGACCCAUAAACAACAAACCAAAAAAGAGAAACCAAAAUUAUUGGCUGGUUCGGUUGGUAAAUGUCACAACCGAUGGUUUGCAAAUAAGCUACAAAAACAACAGUACAAGACCAUGCACCGACCCGUAAAUAACAAAUCAGAAAGAGAAAAAUAAGUUGUUGUUGCAAUUUUGCAAUUGAUGAUAAGACAACAUAAUCAUGACUUAACAAAUUAAAAUGGAAAUCAAAUCAAAACUUAAUAAGCCAACAACAAUGUCAGCAAACAUAAUCAUUGAACUGAAGUACUAUAAUUAGAAAUAGAAAAAAAUAUAGCAAUACUUACAUUUUUCUAGUUCUUCACAUGUCAAUCAUGUAAAAAUACCUAAGAUAUCUAAAUAGAAAAAGAAAAAAUAUAUAUAGAUAUAUAUAUAUAUAUAUAUAUAUAUAUAUAUAACAUAUAUCGGAUAUUUCCGGCUUCAUAUGUUACCCUACUUCCGCACCCAUUUGGUAUCAGAGCCAAGUGUGGUUGGUUAUACCAUUAGUGUCUGAAUACUCUGUUUAUACUUUUAGAUUUAUUCAGUCUCUUUAUAGUUAAUCUUUUCAGUUUAACCUUUUAGUGUCUCCUGAUCUCCAUAAGGUCUGAGCAGUAAGGCGUCACCCAAACAGUAAGUCCCGGAGGAUAGGGCCUGAGCGGCGCGCAUGACCCAGAGAGCUUGGUGUUUAGAAGCACUAGUAAGAUUUUCUGUUAAGGUUUCUGUAUUUUGAUUGUUUGAAUUUUUAAGUAUGAGUAGAUUGUUUAGAUCUAAUUCUAUGGCCAGCACUAGCUCUAGAUCAAAUUUAGGAACAAUACCUGAUAUUGUCAAUGAAGAACAAAAAUUUGAAUUUCAAACAGACAGUAGUCUAGAUUUUGAUGAAUGGAAUAUUCCAAAAAUAUCUUCAAAAAAUAUUUAUAAAAAGAAAUGGGCAUUCGCCUCUUUUAAAACAGAACACCAUGUCAAAACGGUUGAACAAGCUUAUGCUCUUAGUAAAGAUCAUGAGACUUGCCAAUUGUUUACCCCAGAACAAAUUAAUUCUCAUAGGAAAGAUGGUCAUAAUUAUAUUCAUAUAGGUUUAGUGCAAAUUACAGCCAAACCAUUAACACGUAGAGGUCUUAAUACCUCUAUCCUCUUAUGUCUCCGAGAUGCUAGAUUCAUUGACUUCAGUGAUAGUAUACUUGGUAUGGUUGAAUCCAGCCUCUGUAAUGGACCUAUCCACUUUGACUGCUUUCCAGAUCUUACCAUAAGUCUGUCUGACCCACAUAUGUUAAAAGCACUUACACUAAAUAUCAAAACUUCAGGAUAUAAAGUCCUAGAAGGAACACAGCCUUUGGCCUUAAUUUAUAGAAUCUAUUAUAAGGUCACUGGCACAAAUAUGAACUUUCAGGCUUUAACCAAAAGUCCGAAGGAUCAUACUCUCUUGAUCCAGACUGAUCAAGAGAAUGCCAAUAUUAAAAUACCUCGAACCAUUAGGUGGUCAGAAAUCAAUCUCCCUUCAGAUUGGUGUCUAAUAAACGAGAGUCGGCCAGUAGCCAUCCAAAAUAGUCUAGUCAAUUUAGACAAUGUAGAACAAUACUUUGAUGGUACGGUUAAAAUCAAUUUUGAUCGUCCUGCUAGAAAAUCCUGUGAUUCUAAUCGAUCACUUAAAUCCUUUACUUCCAAUAGGAAUUCUUUCUCUGGAUCUAUGCCAACCGAUAGGCAAGGUCGAGACCAAGAAUUAAUCAAUUCCCUAGCUAAUAGGAAAUUAAAAUCAGUAGAUAUAGGCUCAUCUGUCACCCAACAAGAAUUAAUAAAUGACCUUUUAAAUUUCAAACUCCAAUCACUUGAGACAAACGCUCAAGUAGUCCAGCCUACCUAUCAUACCCCAUCCAUUCCUCCUAAGGAAGAACAAACAUCCCCAACUGCUUCUGAUUUUGAUGCGGAACCAGUACACCACCAACUAUUGGUUUUAACCAGACAAGAACCUUUUAAGUAUGAUCGUAAGAAACUCUGUAGAGACAUCGAAGCCUUAGAAAAUGUCCCUCGACGAAACAUCUUCAGAAGUAAAUAUACUACUGAAGAGAAAUUAGAAAUCCAUAAGGCAUGGAAAGACUUCAUGCAAACCAACAGACUUGAAAUAUUUUUCUUCGACUUCGUAGAAAAACAUUAUGAGUCUGAAAACCAAGUAAAGGUAAUCACCAAAGAAAAUUGGGUUAAAGAAGACAAGACAGUUGUCUCCUCCAGUCACCCUCCACAAGAAACUAUACUUAUUAGUACUGCGAAUACGCAGGUCCCAGCCUCACCGUUCAAACUUCCGAAGGAAGAAGCAGGUGUCAAACCUGUUAUUGAACAAAACAAUUUUACCAACCAAAGCCUACAUAUCAUAGGAAAACAGUUGGAUAAAAUCGAAACCAAGGUUGACAAUUUGUCAAAUAAACCACUUAGUAAAGAAAUACCUUUAACUAGUUUCAGAGAGUCACCCUCUUUAAAAACUUCAACAUCUAUUAAGAUAGAACAAAUGCUUCAUAAGCUAGAAAAGGACAAAUCAGUUCGUGUGAUUAAUAACCCACAUGAUUUUGAAACACCUUCCUCAAUUCCAGAUUCAGAAGAUGAAAGUAUUGAUUCCAUCAUUCAAAUGGAGCAAGCCUUUCAGAGUCUUGAAUUAAAACGUCUUAACACUAAAAGGACUAAUCCUACAUCCUUAACCAAAAACUGGUAUCCCAGACCAACACCUCCUGAUCUUCAAUUUGAAGAAAGGAAUUUCCAAUCCCAAUUCACUGUUUCAUCUGAUAAACUCUAUGAAUGGAAUAUAGAUGGUUUAUCAGAACAAGAGUUACUAAACAAACUCCAGCACAUCUCCAUGGUAGCAAAUAGCUAUAUCACUAACCAUGACCUUAGUCAAACCCAAAUUGUCGACAUCCUUGUCUCUGGAUUCACAGGAAUGCUUCAUUCCUGGUGGGAGAAACAUCUCACUGAAGACUCCAGAAAUCUAAUAAGAAAUGCUGUAAAACAAGAUGAAGAAGGAAUACCUAUCUUCGAUGAACAUCUAGGACGUGGUGUCCCAGAUGCGGUCAAUACCUUACUUUAUACAAUCAUACAACAUUUCAUAGGAAUCCCUUCCAACAUCACAUCUAGAAUCCAUGACCAACUAAGCAACUUAAGGUGUCCAACCCUAAGUGAUUUUAGAUGGUAUAAAGAUGUAUUUAUGUCAAGAGUUAUGCUUAGAGAUGAUAGUAAUCAACCAUUUUGGAAAGAAAAAUUUAUAAAUGGAUUACCAAACCUUUUUGCACACAAAAUAAGGAAUACCUUAAUUAACGAAGAUGGAAUUAUACCAUAUAAUGACCUUACUUAUGGACAUAUCAUAAGUACUAUCCAAAAAGAAGGCUUAAAAAUGUGCAUAGAUAUGAAGAUAUCUAGACAAGCACAAUCUGAAAAGGCUAUCGCCAAAUACGAAUUAGGGACCUUCUGUGAGCAAUAUGGUUUACCACCUAUAGCUCCCUCUAAUCUUAAAAAGAGAUCGACUACCUUCAAUAGAUCUAAGAUCUCCAAACCACGGACCAACUACUCCAAGUAUCAUCAAGACAAGUAUGCCAAACCAAACCCAUUUUAUGAAAACCCCAAACAGAAAAGAUGGAAAGGAAAGAGAAAAUCCUCUGGAAAAUUCCAUUCUAAAGACAAUAGUCAUAAGGGAAAAUGCUACAAAUGUGGCAAAGAAGGCCAUUAUGCCAAUAAAUGUAAAGUUAAGAAAACUAUAAGUCAGUUGAAGAUUUCUGAGGAAGAAAAGCUUCAACUUAUCCGAACCCUAGAACUCCAAAAUACCGACAGUAGUCAUUUAUCUGAAGAUGAUCUAGGUUCCACCUCUUCAUCCUCUUACCAAUCUGCCUCUAGUAAGCACUCUACCCCAAACAUCAAGCUCGGAUGUCUUGAUGCUUGUUGUAAAAAUAUAUCAGUACUAACUAAACAAGAAAAACAAGAAGAAUUACUCUUAGAACUAAUAAGCAAUGUUGAGGACACUGAACUCAAAAGGUUCUACCUCAAAAAGCUUAAGAACUUAGUUUCUCAAGAAGAAGUAGGCACUAGCCAAUCUCAAAUUCAAAAACCACAAAUCUCUCUUAGUUCUACUCUAGCAAAGUUUAGUAAGCCUAAGAAAGAAAUUACGGUCAGUGACCUCCAAAAAGAAAUCAAUCAGAUAAAAGAAGAAAUUAAACUUCUAAAAACUGAUAAUUACGAAAUUCGUACGCAACUCACUAGAGCCAAUACUCCUCCAAAAGAAGAACUAUUCAGUUCCUCUUCUUCCAGUAGUCACCAUGAGUCAGAAUCUGAUACACAUUCAGAAAACUUAGUUCUGAAUCUUCUCCACAAAAUUAGAAUCCAAAAAUGGUAUUCUAAAGUAACAAUAGUAAUUGAAGACUUUCGCUUCGAAACCAUUGCUUUAAUUGAUUCAGGAGCAGACUUGAAUUGUAUUCAAGAAGGACUGAUCCCCACUCGGUAUUUCCACAAAUCCAAGGAAAUCCUUAGUGCUGCUAAUGAAUCUCCAAUGGAAAUCAAAUAUGAACUUCCUAAGGCGCAUGUUUGCCAAAAUGAAGUUUGUUUCAAAACACCUUUUGUGCUAAUUAAGAACUUAUCUGACCCUGUCAUACUAGGACUACCCUUUAUAGCACUCCUCUAUCCUUUUAAGACGCAUCAUAAUAGGAUUACCUCAAAAGUCUUAGGACAGAAAGUCACUUUUGAGUUCUGCCUAGAAACAGACCUCAAAAAACUUAGGCAUCUCCAGAAGGAUAGCACUUCGCGAUCCUUAAACAUAAUCUCUAAUAAGACUAAACACCUCCAAUUUUUAAAAGAUGAUAUUCAUCAUAAGAGAACUGAAGAACAACUUAAACAAGAGAUUGUAUCCCAAAAAAUCUUUAAAUUUGAAGAACAGCUUGUUAAGGAAGUAUGUUCUGAUAUUCCCAAUGCCUUUUGGCAUCGCAAACAACAUAUCGUUAAAUUACCUUAUAUCAAGGAAUUUAAUGAGUCAAAAAUCCCUACUAAGGCCAGACCCAUUCAAAUGAGUCAAGAAGUAAUGGAUUUCUGUAAGGCAGAAAUACAAGAUCUUCUUAAUAAAGGAAUUAUCCGUAAUAGCAAGUCACCUUGGUCGUGUCCUGCAUUUUAUGUUCAGAAAAGUGCAGAACUUGAAAGGGGAUCUCCCCGAUUAGUUAUUAACUACAAACCUUUGAAUGAAGUUUUGGAAUGGAUUCGAUAUCCUAUUCCCAACAAAAGAGAUUUAAUAAAAAGGCUUAGUAAAGCAACUAUUUUCUCAAAGUUUGAUAUGAAAUCAGGUUUUUGGCAGAUUCAAAUCCAUGAGUCUGAUAAAUAUAAAACUGCUUUUGUAACGCCUUUCGGCCAUUAUGAAUGGAAUGUUAUGCCUUUUGGUUUAAAAAAUGCACCAUCUGAAUUCCAGAAUAUUAUGAAUGAGAUUUUUAAUCAGUAUAGUCAUUUUACAAUUGUUUAUAUUGAUGAUGUUCUUGUUUUCUCUAAAUCUAUAGAUGAACAUUGGAAACAUUUACACUUGUUUGCUAGGAUCAUUAGAUCAAAUGGAUUGGUUGUGUCAGCCACUAAAAUUAGGUUGUUUCAACUAAAGAUUAGAUUUUUAGGUUAUAAUAUUCAUAGGUCUACCAUCCAACCUAUUGACCGUGUCAUCCAGUUUGCAGAUAAAUUUCCAGACCAGAUUACUGAAAAAACCCAACUUCAAAGAUUCUUAGGAUCAUUGAAUUAUGUUUCAGAAUUUUAUCCUCAUUUGCGUCAACAAUGUAAACCCUUGUUUGAUCGCCUUAAGGAGAAUCCUCCUGCCUGGUCUACCAUUCAUACUUCUAUUGUCAAACAGAUCAAAAAUCAUGUUAAGACUUUGCCCUGUCUUGGCAUUCCAACUCCCAACUCUUUUAAGAUUGUUGAAACUGACGCCUCUGACGUUGGUUAUGGAGGUAUCCUCAAACAGCAAACUUCCUCCGGAUCACCUGAACAAAUUGUUCGCUUCCAUUCAGGUGUAUGGAAUCCUGCUCAAACUAAUUAUAGUACUAUUAAAAAAGAAAUACUAUCUAUAGUUUUAUGCAUUAGUAAAUUUCAAGAUGAUUUAUUAAAUCAAAAAUUUCUCGUUAGAGUUGAUUGCAAAUCUGCAAAACAUGUUUUACAAAAAGAUGUUCAAAAUAUUGCAUCAAAACAGAUUUUUGCACGAUGGCAAGCCAUAUUAUCAAUCUUUGAUUUUGAAAUCGAAUACAUUAAAGGCAGCCAUAACUGCAUUCCAGAUUUCCUAACCAGAGAAUUUUUGCAGGGGAAGAAUGUCUAAUAAAAACACAGCUUCUCCACAAGGCAGUAGCCAACAAAGGAGGCUUCCCGCCUCAUUACCACCACCAAAACAGGAACCUAUUCCCGGUUCCUCGGCCUUAGCCAUUACCAAUAGAUUUACUCCAUUAGGAUCAACUCUAGGAAAUAUCCGACCAAAUUACCAAACAGCGUUAGUAAACCAGUAUGAUCCUUUCUCCUCUACCUACAGGCAAUCGCCAUCCCCCUCUGUAAGUUAUACCAAAACAUCUCCUUAUAUUAUUAAACCAUCCAAAGAAUACUUAUUCAGCAUUCCCUUCAACUUCAAACAUCUGAAAACACCUGAGGUAAUAGCCAAAAAGAUGUUUCCAACCAAUUCCCAUUUUCAGCCAAGUGAAUUCCACAAAACCCUCAAAUACUAUACCACUAUCCUCAAUGAGACUUCAUCUAUCACCAUAAAACCUAUCUUUGAUAAAUCCUCUGGCAACCAAAACAGAAUCCUGUAUCAUUCCCUUACCAUCAAUAAAUUCUUGUUAGAAUCAGAAUGGCAAGUACCUCUUUUCCAGCCCAAGCCUUUUAAAAGCAGUAGCUUUCCCAGUCACUCAAACCAUUAUACCUAUUUUGAUUACAUUCAAGCUUGGACUAACAUCUUCUUGCACCAAUCCGAAGAUUUUAGUCAUUCAUGGUUCAUAACCUUUGACCGAAGUUUCAGAUUGAAUUUUCCUGCAUGGUUUCCCAGAUGGUGGUCAGAACAUGGCCUUAUCUCUGAUCUCAUGCCUGACGAAUUCAAGCAAGUCUUAUCAGGCACUUUCCAGAAGAAGUUCGAUAGAACGCGUUUUGAUGAAGGAAUCCCUUUGUUCGCCCUGUUCAUGGCAAAAUACAAGAUCCCCUGGAUUCUCCGCUGGAAUUACGAGAUUGAAUCCAAUCAAGUCUUCCGACAGAGAAUGAUCAAAUGGUGGGAUAAGUUCAACUACCAGAAAAUUAUUGAAGUCGUGCUCAAGGACUUCCCCAUGGGUUCUAAUCCAGUACCUGCAGUAGCAGCUCCUCCAGCAUCAGCCUUACCUGAACCAACCAAGGAAGAAAUCGAUUCAUUAUCGGAUAUUAGUCCUUCUUCCUCUCUCAAGGGAAAACCCAAGUCAUCCAAAUCUUCGAGCAGUUCGAAGAAAAAGAAAUCAUCAAAGCUCAAGGCUCUAGCCAAAAUUCUCAUGAAGGAACUACAAGAAGAUAAUGAAGAUAGUUCGGACUCCGACAACUCUUCGGAUGCUUCAUCACAAUGCGCAGUAGCCACACAAGGGAAUAUCUUCCCGCCUGAUUCUCAAGACCCAUACGAAUUUUAAACUUGUAAAGGAAUUCCUAAAUUCGUAUGAAUAAUGUCUCAGUAGGAUACAUCGUAUUUAAGACUCAGUAGAGUAUUUUGUUUUUCUGGGCAAAAGUUGCAUACGACAGGACCAGCCGCAUGUGAAAACAGCAGUAGCAGACAAGACACUAUUCAUGAAUAGUAAAAUCACUUUUACUAUUCAUCCACAGUAUUCACCCUCGUGAAAGCCACAGUCCCCGACAGCAUCUUUUGCUUUCGGCCUCUUUACAGCAGUAGCACAUGCAGAGCGGGAUUCCCGCUUCCAUCCUUCAAUCAUUCCUGAUCACCUCCUUCGCCUACAAAAGGAAAUCUCCAGCUUCUUUGAAGGGGGGCUUCUUCUCCGAAAGAAAACUCUGCUUAUUCACAUCGAACAGAGUCUACAGCUUCUCAGCAAAAAUAUUGUAAUAUAAAUAUAUUUUACAUUUCAAGUAAUCAAGGAUGCCUGCGAGCUCCAAGAUCAGUCUUUAAUUUUCUAAAUCGUCAAUAGACGAAACUUCUGUAAGUCUUGUUUGAUUUUCAAUAAAUAUAUUUUCAAUCGACUAUCAGCAUCAUUAAUUUAUAUCAUCAUGAAUACUAAAUCUAUUUUAAAUUUAGUUUUGUUUAUAUAUGCUCUUGUUAUUAAUCCUAAAAAUUUUAUAUUGAUAUUAAUCAAAUUCUUUGAAUUUCCAAAUACAUAUAUCGGAUAUUUCCGGCUUCAUAUGUUACCCUACUUCCGCACCCAUUUGGUAUAUAUAUAUAUAUAUAUAUAUAUAUAUAUAUAUAUAUAUAUAUAUAUAUAUAUAUAUAUAUAUAUAUAUAUAUAUAUAUAUAUAUUGGUAGGUAUGCAUACCGCCGUUAUACAAAAUCUAAUAUUAAAGCCAUACCAUUAAUUGUCGGUUCAGUAUAAUGCCAAUCGAUUAUGAAAAAAUGCCAAAACUAUACCAUACCAUUACGAACUGAUCGGUAUGGUUCGGUCGGUAAAUCGGUUUAUGGUAAAAUUUCUCAGCCCUAAUAAUUAUACAUAUAUGAUGCUAAGGAAGAAGAGAUUCGAAGACAUGACUUUAAAUUAUAGGGUGAACUGCCAAUUUAGUUUUUGAAUUAUUGCAUGAGUGAAAAUUAGGUCCCUAAACUAUUUUUUUUCAGAAAAAUCAAUCAUUGUUAUAAAAAUUUGCCAAUUACAGGGUGAACUGCCAAUAAUUAUACAUAUAUGAUGCUAAGGAAGAAGAGGUUCGAAGACAUGACUUUAAAUUACAUGGUGAACUGUCAAUUUAGUCUCUGAAUUAUCGCAUGAGUGAAAAUUAGGUCUCUAAACUAUUUUUUUUCCUCAGAAAAAUCAAUCAUUGAAUUAUAAAAAUCUGCCAUUACAUCCCUAAUAUUAUAUUCAAAGUUACUAUAUUCAAUUUUCCAUCAAUUUAAAUCACCAUACUUGCAUGUGAUACACAUUGGAGGGUAAAUUGGUCAUUUUUCAUAAAGAAAUAAUGUAUGAAGUUAACUUUGGAGGGUAAAUUAGACGUUAGAUUAGCAACCUAUAUGAAAUGUUAAGGGCUUAUAGGCGAUAAAAUGACAGUAUUACAUUCUAUAGUGUGUCAAGUGACUUAAGUUGACAAAAAAUUAGAUAAAAUAGCUUUGAAUAUAAUAGAAGGGAUGAAAUUAGCAAUUCUUAAUGAAUUUAGGGACUUAUUUUACCGAAAAAAAAUAAUUUAAGGACUUAAUUUUCACUAAGGUGAUAAUUCAAGGACUAAAUCGACACUUUACCCUAAAUUAUAUACGCUAAAACUCAUUUUUGCCUAAAACACUAUUUAUUGAAUUUGAGUUUUGUGUUAUCGUUAUAAAUAAAUAAACAUGUCGGAUGUUAUUAUUGAAAUUCUAAUAUUCAUAUUCAUUGUGACAUCCCGUCCCAAAAUUUAUUGUUUUUUAUUCUUAGUCGUAGUGAAACUAUCAUAAUGCCACUGAGAUGCCACGUAGGCCUUCCACGUGGACCUCAAUUUUCCUUUCACUUUUCCAGUCUUAUUUUACUAUUUUUGAAUAGUACUCAUUUUUACGAACACGGGACUGUAGACGGAACUCAAUUCGAAGUUAUAACAAACAAGUUAUGUUUGAAACUAAGUAAAAAUACCCUGAGGCAAUUUCAAAUUUGAAAUUCUUGUAUAGCGUGCCACUGCUUUGGUCUGAUUUUCUGAUUAGCGUUGUGGGUUGUGUGCGUUGGUAACUAAGAAAGUUGGUUUAAGUGUGCAGCAAGUGGACAAUUUAAUAUUGUUUUAUGGGUAAACUACCAAUUAGUUCCUAGAUUAUCACCUUAGUGAAAAUUAGGUUCCUAAACUAUUUUUCAGAAAAAUUAGUCCUUGAAUUAUAAAAAUCUACCAAUUACAUCCCUAAUGUUAUAUUCGAAGCUACUAUAUUCAAUUUUCCGUCAAUUUAAGUCACGUUACUUGCAUGUGAUACACAUUGAAGGGUAGAUUGGUAGUUUUUCAUAAAUAAAUAGUGUAUGGAGUUAACUUUGGAGGAUAAAUUGGUAGUUUUUCAUAAAUAAGUAGUGUAAGUUAACUUUUGAGGGUAAAUUGGACAUAAAUUAGCAACCUAUAUGAAAUGUUAAGGGCUUAUAGACAAGAAAAUGAUGGUAUUACACUCUAAUGUGUGUUAAGUGACUUAAGUUGACAAAAAAUUGGAUAAAAUAGCUUUGAAUAUAAUAGUAGAGAUGAAAUUAGCAAUUUCUAAUGAAUUUAGGGAGUUAUUUUACCGAAAAAAUAAUUCAGGGACCUAAUUUUCACCGAGAUGAUAGUUCAGGGACUAAAUCGACACUUCACCCAUGUUUUAUUAGGUUUUGAAAACUCACACUUUUGUGCCAUCAUCCAUUAGACAUAAUUUCUUUUCCAUUUUUUAAAAAUAGAUUUUCUUUCUCUCCCACUAUUGCACGUUUCUCUCUCUCUCUCUCUCUCUUUCUCUCUCUCUCUCUCUCUCUCUCACCCACACACACGCGCGCGCGCGCCAUAUCCUAUCAAUUUUCCCUCACAUCUCUCUUUUCCUCACACAUCCCACUUUUCCCCCUUUUUCCCCCAUAUCAGCCGACUCUCUCUCUCUUUUCAUCUUUUUCACUCAUUCACAUCUUUCUUUCUCUCUACCCACUCAACUCUUCAUCACCUUUCAAAUUCUCUCUCGUAGCUCUCCUCACUCUCUCCUUCUCGGUGCAAGCCAAACAACCACCACACCAUCUCCAAACGCCGCCAAAAAAUUCCCCAAAAUUCACUCAAAAUUUUCUAAAAGUCUCUACAACUUACUCUUAAUCCUUGAUCGUGAGAAAGCCCAAAGGAAAACGAAGAUCCGGUUGCGUAGCUUGAUGAACGUUGGCAAAACUUUCACUUCUUGGACCACGGUAGGCCUAGAUUUCUCACUCUCAAACUCUCCCUUGAAAUUUUGGUAAAUAUUCUUACCAUGCAUACAGGUUUCUAUGUGUUUAAAGGAUAUCUAACCCACCAUGUUGUCCGGCAAGUUGUAGGAUUUUUCAUGCCAAACCUGGCCAAACCUUGUUGAUUUGAUCAAGUUUGAAGGUGUAGGACAACUUCCCACAAUCUCUAGGCCACGAAUUUGAGCUUGUAUGCUCGAAUCCCCUCUGCUUAGAAGGUUCCAUGUCGGGCAGUAGCUGUUAGGCUGUUUUUCGAGCAACUCUAGCCAACUUUUGGCUUUAAAUGGGUAUAAUCUUAUUCCUCUCAUUCUAAGCUUCGUUUUGACAUAUUAUGCAUUAAAUUUGGUUGUGUAAUGGCUCUGAACGAGUCGUUUGAAUUUCUUCCCAAAUUUCCAACGAAAAUGUCAUUCUUAUCCAAACUAAGGGAAAUUAAGUUUAUUGCAUUAAUUAUUAUUACUUUAGUGAAUAGUGUAGUAAUUUUUCAUUUAGGAGAGGACCAUCCGAAGGUGUACUGCGAGCAGAAUAGUUGGAAGGAUACGACAUGGAUGUACCUGUGAGAAGGUCUUUUAGUUUUUACUUAUAUAUAUGUAUAUGUGAUUUUUCUCAACAACUGCUUUUAUAUACUAUGAUGUGACAUGCCGUGUUUAUCUUUACAAAUAGACUUUUCGUACACUUUAUGUUUUAAUAUUAUUUGUGAGCAUAAACUUGUGGCAUAACAUUCUUGGAUUUUAUCUGCUCAUUAUUACAUGUUUGCACGGUGUCUCUUAGUUAUUUGUACUGUCAUGGGCCAAGGCCCAGCUUCACAUGUAGUUCGCAUACACCGUUUACAUUCGCUUUGGAUCCAGAGUUAGGUGCUAGCCUGUCCUUUUGUGUGAUGUUUUGGACUCGUAUGUGAUGCAACUAGUGUAACUCACGUGAUAUAGUACUAGAAUGUAAAACCUACACUCAGCCUGUUCCAUUGUCUAAAUAUCUCUGUAAUGGACUUGUGUGCCUACAUAAAUUAAUGAGCAUUGAUUUCUUGUAAUAACGAUUUGAGAUUUAACGGGCUAAUUAUAUUAACACCCCACAAAUUGUUGAAGAAACCUCACAAACUUAAUACACCCUACAUUUGCUUUUUCACUUAAAAAUUAUCUUAAUACACCCCACUUACUUUCCCAUAAUACCCCCACGACCCACAUUCUCAAUAUACAUCUUAUAUUUUGUACAUACACCCCACAUUUUCUUUACACCCUACAUUUCUCAAAUCUUAAAACACUCAUUUUUAAUUUUCAGGGAUUGAAUCUAACCAUAUGAACACUAAAAGAUGAAUAUGAAUAUAGAAAUUUAAAUAAUGCAGCAAACGCAAGAUUAAAUAAUUAUCGAUGUCAUCGAAAUCACUAAAACAAUGAAAACUAUGAAGUCUUAUCUCAUGUGAAGCUUCUGAAACAUCGAUUUCGUAUUCCAUUCGUCAAAAACAAUUUUUCUUAAUCAACAUGUUUCAUAGUUGAGAAGAUAAAUAAUACGCUAAAAGUGAUUUGGGGUGUAUUUAUAAAUCUUUAUUUUUUUAAACCUAAUAAGGUCAAAAUUGUCAUUGCAUAGUGGAGUAAAUAAGUCAUUUAAUAUUAAAUUUUGAUGUGGGAUGCAUUCAACAUUUUGUGGGAUGUUAAUAUAAAAACCCAUUUAAUGUUGAGAUACCUUCUUGUAUCUUACAUCUUUUGACUCACUUUUGUUGCAGAGUACCGUAUUACAUACUAGUAUUAUAAUAUUUUCAGGAAACUUUAUACUUGUUUUACAGCGAGGGGUUACACAUUUUCGAAAAUGGUUUAUAAAACUUUAUUUUUAGGUCCACUCAUCGUUGUUUUUCGCCCCUCUAGGAUUUUAGUGGCAAAGGUUUCGUGACAACAAGGAUUGCUGGUAAAAGUUGUCAUGUAAGAGACUUCUCCUUUCGGUAUAAAUUUCCUUACUCCUUUUUUACUAGAAUUUAUCUAUGCUCUGACAUCACUUGUGUGAUAUGAGUUCAAUCUCACUCACAUAAGCACUAUAAAUUAGUCACUUUUAGGUUUUAAUUUUUUCACAUUUUUCACAUCACUACACGUUAUGGCUUCAUCACCUUCAAGGUGUCGACCAACACAUCGUGAUUCUAGUGUCCAGGUGGACAUUUCGGGUCUGGGUGUGUCAUCCAUAAUUGAGUUUUGUGUUAUCGUUAUAAAAACAUAUUCGCAUGUUAUUAUUGAAAUUUAAAAACACCGAUUUUAAGCUUCAUCCCAUAACCCAACCACGUAUUCAGUAUCUGCUAAUGCUUCUAAAUCCAUAGACAAACUGACUCAGGUUAAAUUCGUUUGUGCCAUAUGGAUUCACCAAAGAUUUUCAAACUUACGAUCAUUAAGCAGGGGAUCAUCUGGAAGAGGAAUGAGCAGUUGUCAUUCCUUCUUAGUCUCAUAUGAUGUGCCAACUACAACAUGUGUCCCUAGUAGCAGAGCCAUGAUUUUAGAUUAGGAGGGGCCUUUAAAAAAUGUUAAAAAAAAUGCUACAACACUGCUAACAACACCAGCCCUAAAACAACGUUGCAGCACGCUUGCAAAUCCAUCUCUCAUGCUUACUAAUCCAUCUCUUAUGGUUAUCGUCUCAUCCAAUGUUUGGUCAUCGUCUCAGCCACUACUUUCCUACUCUAGAUUUUUGGUCUAAUUACGAUGUUUGUUUGCUUAGUGACAAUGGUGUUGAUUUUUCAAUUUCUUUCCAUUUCAUCAAUACGUUCUAACCAGUUGGGAGUCAUGUUAAUUGGCAAAGAAAACAAUCUAAUAGAAAGGGCUAAUGAGAACACAUAAAUCACAUAUGGAUGAAAGCAUAAUUCAAGUUUGUCAACAACCACCAAUACCAUGUAAAAAGAUUAAACUCUAGGAAAACCAGCUCUCUCGCCUACUCUUUCUCUCUUUUUGUUUAGGGCUCUAGCCCUUUAAAAAAAUCUUAGAAAAUCAGAAGGAUAAUCUAAUUUUUUUCUCUGUAAAAAAAAUGUCAAGGUAAGUCGGAGACCAUUAUGGUCCCUUCAUGGCUCCGCCCUAGGGUGUCCCUGAAGCAGCAUAUGCAGUACCUGUUCCUGUUUUAGCAUCAUCAAGAGCACCUCCAAAAGUCUCACUUUGUCGUUUGGCUUACCUUAACAAGCCAGAGAUCCCCGAGGUAUUAUUAGGUACCAUAUUUAUGAAAGGGUAAUGCUAGGUAGACCAAAUUUUUAAGCCAAAUUUGUAAAAUCAAACGAUAUGUCACUAAUACGAAAUAAGCACAUUAAUCAACACUUAAGUAAUAACCUAAUCAUCAACACCCAAAUCAUUUGAUUUACAAAAUUUGGUCUUUCUAGCAAUACCCUUUAUGGAAUACUUAUGCCCAGGGCAAUCAAGACCUUCUUUGUGCCACCUCAUCAACUCUGCAAGGAUUUGGAUUGAUGGGCAUUAAGGCCAUCUCCAACUGAAGGAGCUAUGUUUAGCCCUUGUCCAGAUUAUAGCCCUGUAAUAAAUUAUUUUUUAAUGAACAAUGUUAGGCCAUAUUAUAUAAUAUCUCCAACCGAAUGACGCUAUUUUUAUCACUCUUAAUAAUUUAUUAUUUUAAAUUUGUUCUUUAAUUUUAUUGGUUAAUUGAAUUAAACUACCAUAUUAAAAUUAUGUUUGAAUAUGUUUUGAGUGUCACUUGUUGCUAAAUAAAUAAGCCUCUGGAUUUCUUAUCCAUUGGUUGAAGAUGUGACAUAUGAAAAAAAAUAUCGAAAAAUUUAAAUUUAGAUUAUUGGAAGAGAUAAGGGAGGGUGUUUAUAAAAAGGAUGUGAGAAAUGAUGUAGAAAUGGGCCUAAAAAAAGGGGCUACCCAUUUGGCUAAGAAUGCUGAGCCCGAUGGCCAAAGGAUAAAGCUUGGCCUGGUGGAUCCCCUUUUUCUUUGGCCCAACUGUGACGACUUGUCCUUAAUUUUCUAUGUAAUUUCUCCUCGAAUAAGUAAAUUACCGUUUAUGCCCUUGUUCGCAAGUGACGUGGACGUAUUUAUUCGCUCUUAAAUUAUUAUUCUCGCUAUCAUAAUUAAUUUGUACUCGUUACGAGUGUACGUUAAUUUUAUCAGUGUUAGAAACACUAUUUCAAAUGGAUUUUCUUAUUUGCUUUUACUGUGGGAAAUCUGUAAAAGCCUAUCUUGUUACUUCUUUAAAAUUUGGUAUGUGCCUUAUAUUUUUCACCAAUCAAUCUUCUUCCCUCUUUCUGGCACCUAAUCAGACUUUCCAUCUCUCUGCUCAAUCAGAAACCAUCACUUAUCUUUCUCAUCUCCUUCUCUUUCUUAAACCUGUACCUCGCUCUUCUCUGCAACAAAGAAGACCACCACCAUCUCUUCACAGAUCGAACCUAAAAACCACAUAUUUGGACUCCUCUCGUCACCACGAACUUAACCAUACCCUCAUAUCGCAUGUUGGUUAAGUUUUGAGUGGUUAGCGCGGAGUAACUCGGAAGCUCUAACUCGGUGGUUUUUGUGUCAAUGUGAUCGCAGCUGAGUUACCAAGUUUUGAAGGUUGUGGAAGCAUCCACACAACUCCUUAAGGUUCCUAGACUAGUUUUGGUGGAGCGUUGAUGUCGAAAUAAGCAGGUUCAACAAGUUGACUUUUUGACCGAGACAUUCGAGCCAUUUUCAAGCCAUUUUCCGUCCACUUUUGGCUUUUGGAAGGUAUAAUGUUGGUCUACUCUUCAUAAGCUUCAAAUCCAUAUAAAUUUCGUGAAAAAUGGUUAAGAAUUGAGCAAGUUAUAAAGGUUUGAAAUUUUCCCAGAAACCGAUGAGUUCAGACGGCGAUCGGCAAGGCGUCAACCCUGACGGAAUAUUCUAACGGCAUUAGGUAAUGCUGUUAGCUUCUGUUAAGGUUUUAACGGAAUAUUCCUAACACCGUUAGUCACAUGGAUUGUACGUGCUACGCGUGGCCGACGUGUGAGGGCGCGUCUGGUGUCCAAAAAUAUUUCUGAAAAUUUAUGUAGGUCCGUGACGUCGAGUAGAUCGAUUUCAUAUAUUCAAACCCUAUGUUUGAGAAAAUUAUGGGAAGUUAUUCUUAGUUUUUAGCAUAUGUCCUUAUUAAUUAAUUAUAAAUAGUUGUUUCGCAUAUAGGCGAAACCUACCCUGAGGAUGUGCGUGGACAAGCAAGACUAGGGGGCUACGACCCUACGACAUACCGGUGGGUGAGCAUUUUGUUUUUGUAUAUUAUGUAUAUAUUUUAUAGUUUCCAUAAAUGUUUUUGAAUGGUUUUAUGCAUUUAUGCCAUGAAUUAUAUAUUUUUCUAAAUGCUAUGAAAUGAUUGAGUUUUAUAUUGCAUCAUGGCAUAUCCAUAUGCAUAUUACCUGCAUGUAAUUGAUGUGAAUGGUUUGAAAUGCUAAUGUGAACACGGGAUGCUCAGGUAAGUCCAAGUAAAGUUAUGUUGUGAAUUGAAAUGGUUGAAUCACUAUGGCAUGUUUUGCAUAUAAAGUGCUCAUCAUUUCUACGUCUCGGUGUUAGUGCUCCCACCCAGGGCUAGGGCUAGUCCUUCAAGUGUAUGUUCACCUCCCGCACUGCACGCUCGCCUUGAAUCCAAGUAGGUGCUAGUCCUAUCGUACAUAUCACAUUAGGUGACUCAAGCUCGUAGGUGACCCGGGCAUAGCGUUAGUCUUCACGUGAUCGUAGCACUAGAGUGAUUAUUAUUACACCUAGUCCUGUCGUACAGGUCACAUUAGGUGACUCCAACUAACAUGUUAUGUCACAUCCCGACCUGGGGCGGACCACUUCCCGGGCCCGCUCCACCACCGUAGCACGAUAUUGUCUGCUUUGGACCCCGAUCACGCCCUUACGGUUUUGUUUUUGGGAACUCACGAGCAACUUCCCAGUGGGUCACCCAUCAUGUGAGUGCUCUGGCCACCUUUUCGCUUAAAUUCAGAGUUCCGACGGAACCCGAAGCUAGUGAGCUCCCAAAAUGCCUCGUGCUAGGUAAGGAUGAGAAUAUACAUUUAAGGAUCACUCCCCUAGGUGAUGUGGGAUGUUACAAUCCACCCUCUUUAGGGGCCCAACGUCUUCGUCGGCACACUUUCGGCAGGGAUUGGCUCUGAUACCAUUUGUCAUAUCUCGGCCCGGGGCGGAUCACUUCUCGGGCCCGCUCCACCAUCGUAGCACGAUAUUGUCCGCUUUGGGCUUACCAUUCUCUCACGGUUUUAUUUUUGGGAACUCACAAGCAACUUUCCAGUGGGUCACCCAUCGUGGGAGUGCUCUCGCGAGAACUCGUUUAACUUCGAAGAUCCUGCAGAACCCGAAACCAGUGAGCUCCCAAAAAGCCUCAUGCUAGGUAAGGAUGAUAAUAUACAUUUAAGGAUCACUCCCCUGGGCGAUGUGAGAUGUUACAUGUUAGUAUAGAUUACAUCACAUAAUCAUAUCUAUACUGUUGUUGAGAAUAUCUGUGGUGGCAUACUUCUGGACUUACAUUUAGCAUGAACUUAUUUUCAUACUUAUAAGUAGUAUGAUAUUUUUGGAAACUAUACAUGUUUUACAGUGAAGGGUUAGUAUGAUUGAAAAAUAAAUGUAUUUUAUAAACCUUUAUUUUUGUGCUUACUCAACCUUCUGUUUUUCGCCCCUCUAGGUCCUAGUUAGCUGAUUUAUCUCUGUGGCGUACAAGGAAUAGCUGGUGGAUUUCGACAUAUCUCCAUCUUAAGAACUUAUCUCUAGUUGUGUAAUAAGUACUUGUCUCGUUCGAUUGCUUUACCCUUAUGUUAUCUAUGCUUUGAAUACUUGUAGUUAUGGGUUGUAACCACUAUUGCGCACUCACGUUAUUAGUUAGUUAAAUUCUAGUUUUGGUUUUAAUUUAUUCACAAUUUUCUUACAUCACUUGCACUUUUGGUUACGUCACCUUCACGUGACGGCUAUCACGCCUUGAUUCCGGUUGGGGUGUGUCACCAACCCUCCAUUGGAGUUGGAUUUUAGAGCAUUUCGGGCUGGAUUUUGGCCUAUAGUCCUAUAGCCAUCUCCAUUGGAGAUGGCCUAAUCUUCUUUUUUUGGAGUGGGAUCUUUCAUAACAGUUCUCUCAAAACAUUGACUAUUCAUCACUCUGAAAUUUGUUUCAAUUCAUUUAGCUAGGCAAGAUAUUCCAAUACCCUUUCCUUUCAAUUCAUUUGAAACAUAAACCAUCAAAAAGUGGUUAAUCCAUGUCCUUAGUUAUAUUUUUCACCUCCCAAUGUUCCUUUCCAUUCUCUUGGCAUGGUAAUUUAGAAUGGUAGUUAUAUGUUUCAUUGAUCACUUGGAAGUCUCAUCGUUAUUUGGGCACAUGAUCGCGAGGUAAGACUCAAAUGGGUUCGAUUCUGUGUUCAUUCUGUUAACACUUUCUUAGAAUUAGGAAAGUUAUAUAUGUUGGAAAAUUUAAUAUUAUUUUUAUUAUAUUAAAUAAAUUAAUUGAAUGGAAAUUAGAAGUGAUGCAUUUUGGUAGAAAUACGUGUCUAUCCUAAUGAAGAGUUGUAACUUUUUCUCUUCAUGAAUGGUCACAUACUUUUCAAAGAGGUAUCUUAAAUUCUAUAAAUAGGGAGGCCUCUAUAAACAUAAAAUAACUUUUCAUUGUUUUACAUAAUCAUACAUAUAGUGCACUAAAUAUUAGAAAGUCUCAUUGAGUCCAUAUGAGAGAGUAUUCAAGACAAUCGUGGUUCAUGGAACCUUAUGAUUUGAAGUGCUACUAUUACAAGAAUGUGAUCGUUGUAUCUUGGGAGACAUGCGUUGAUCAACCAUGUGCACCGUAAUGGGGCGUAAACUUGUCUUAAGGACAAAGUGUGUAACACUUGCCUCGACCGUAUUUUCAGAUUUUUCGAAUCCAUUAUGUCAUGUUUGUUUAACAUUAGUUACUCAUGUGCAUGCAUUGCUUUGAUAUAUAAUUGCAUGAAUUAUUUCUUGAUUUUCCAUGUGAUUUAAUAUUAGCAAUUAUACCCUAUUUUUCCUACAAUAUAUUGUAUAUGGAACCAUCUGGACUGCUCCUCCCACCUUUCCAGAAGAAAAAAAUCCCCAUGAGACUUGCUUUGUUCAAGUAGCUUUAUUUCUUUAAUUGUUUAUAGUUCAUGUCUAAUGUGUCCUCAGGGCGACAGACGAGAAAUUAAGUGAUUUGUAAACAAUCCGCCGAAACUCUCUCAAAUAGGCUUUUUGGAAGAAAAGAAAACCAUUGCAGAUUGCCUACACAAGAAUAGCCUGAGGUAGUGAUUCUCCUGUUGUGAUGCCAUGUUCUUCUUGAAUGAAUAUGCUUUGAGUACACAGUUAACUGCUUAGGGGUGGUUUGGGAGUGAGGUGCUUAAAAAAAAAAACACCCAUGAAAAAAAGUUGUGAGGGUUUUAGGUGUUUGGUAAACUAAGGGCUGGUUUGGUAUUGCUGUGCUUUGAAAAAAAGCUGUUGUGAGAAUAAGCGGCUGUGCUGUGAGAAUAAGCGGCUGUGAAAUAAAUCAGUGUUUGGUAAACUUUUUUGUAAAAGUGCUUUUGGAAAAAAAAGCAGUUUGAUAGUGGGUCUUUUCAUUAAAGGAGCACUGUAACUCUGUGUGCUUUGAAAAAAAAACCAGUUUUCCAAAGCUGCAAAUAACAGCUUCAGCUUUUUCCUUUGAUUUCAGCUUAUUCUCACAGCAGCUUCCAAAAUAAGCCAUUUUUUUUUUCAGUUUACCAAACACCUAAAACCCUCACAACUUUUUUUCAUGGGUGUUUUUUUUUUUAAGCACCUCACUCCCAAACCACCCCUAAAAAAAGGGCUUAUUUUGGAAGCUGUUGUGAGAAUAAGCUGAAAUCAAAGGAAAAGUUGAAGCAGCUAUUUGCAGCUUUGGAAAACUGACUUUUUUUCAAAGCACACGGAGUUACAGUGCUCCUUUAAUGAAAAGACCCACUAUCAAACUAUUUUUUUUUUCCAAAUGCACUUUUACAAAAAAGUUUACCAAACACUUUGUUGAUUUAUUUUACAGCCGUUUAUUCUCACAGCAACUUUUUUUUCAAAGCACAACAAUACCAAACCAGCCCUUAGUAUGGCUAUACAUUCUGAUAUUCUAAUUUUCCCUCCAUGAUUCUUUUGGCAUGUGAUGAGGUAUAUUAUCAAAUACUUUGGUGGCAUAAAAUCUGGUAUCAUAUGUGAUUGAAUAAGUGCUUGAAUUAUGUUUUGAGUUUUAUUUAUUUAUUUAUUUUAUUUACUGUUUGACGUUGUUGUGGAGAAUGAAGGAGACAAUAUUAUCGGAGUUACGCAUUUGAGUGUUUAUAAAGGAACAAUACUUUAGUUUUUGAACUUUAUACAGUUUGGACAUAAAAGGACACUUUACAAGUAUGAGUAGGACCAUAGCUUUUGAAAAACAUUACCUGGGGAUGGCGCAUUAAUAUCUCAAAUUUUUGUUAUGUAAUAUAUGAAUGUAAAUAACACUAGGUGUACCAACAUCCCCAAAAGUUUCAAGUCUUUACAUGGAUGUUACAUAUAAUGUAACCUGUAAACAGUACUCUGCCACAUAUUUUCAAGACUUUUCACCCCUCAAACAAAGUUUAAAAUCCCGCGGCAAUUUACGGGUAAACCUGCUAGUAGGAGAUCAAAUUGUCUACACCCAUUUGUUUUCAGUUUGAAAACCAUUUGUUUUCAGUUUUUGUUUUCAUUUUUUUUAAAUUGAAAAUUGAAAUAUGGUUUGGUAACUACUUUUAGGAGAUUAAAUCGUCUACACCCGUUUGUUUCCUACAUACCAAACGAAAUGGAUAUGUACUAGCUGUUUCAUUAAGUUGUUCCCAAGAUAAAAAAAAAAAUAAAAAUGAAAUAGUUAUCAAAUGACCCCUAAGUUAUUGCCUACUUACCAUUUUCGUUGAUUAUUUGUUUGUGAGUUUUGGCCUAGUGCCCCUGCUUGUACCUUAAUAAAAUUUGGUAGAGGGGGGGGGGAGGAGGGGAGGUGGGUUUUUGGGUGCCAUGAUCUUUUUUGUUUUGUUUUUUUUUUUUUCCGGGAAAGAGUAAAUGCUUCACAAGUGAAUAUUUGUGAAGAGAUAAUCUCAUCUAAUCCUUCUCUUCUUUCACCCAAAAGAAAAAUAAAAUUAAAGCUACAAACCAUUUGCAACUCUAACAAUUUCAGGUUUAGGGUAAGUGAGGGAGAGGUUUAAGUUCUAAAAAAAUAAACGAUAAGAGAGGACCCCCUAGAGCCCACAUUAGGAAAUCCAGCAGAUACCCGCACGAAGCCCAAACCUGAGCCCAAUAAAAAAAAAAUCCAAUUUUCGUCGUUUGUGACCCAACUAAACUAAAAAUUUUGGAGCCCAAUUUUGGCAGAUUUAGGUUUUCUCACUUGCUCUGAACUCUGAAGCGCGAAAAAGAAUAAAAAAUCAUAAAAUUUUCUGGGUUUAUGAUUCUGACACUGAGAAACACUCUUUUAGGGUUUUAAGUUCACCUCUCUGAACAUCGAAGCUCCAUCAAUGGCGAGCCCUAAGUCCAUCGACGCCUCGCUCUGGUGGGACUCUUUCUCUCUCUUACUCACCGAGCUCGAAAAUGCCUCUCUCUCCUCCGACCUCCCUCCCAUUCUGGUAAACCCCCCAUCUCUCUCUCUCUCUCUCUCUCUCUCUAUAGAUAUAUGCAUGUAUGAAAAGUGUUGAACUUGGUUGGUAUUUUGGUUAGGUAAAGAAAUUAACGGAGAAUCACGCUUGGUUCGUGGACACAGUGUCUCGCUUCAAGCCGCCCAAUGAGAAUUCGAGGGAGGCUUUGAAUUCACAGCAAGUGAAAAUUGGGUCUCACCAGUUGAAUAUAAAGCCUGAGUUGAAAGAUAAAGCUUUGAAAGUCAGCUCCUAUUUGGUGAGUUUGUACUGCUGCUUUUAUGCCACUUUUACUUUUAAAAUGUGUGUGCAUCUGAUGUUUAUAUAUACAUACAUUUUGAAUUUUUCAAAUCAACCAAACAUUCCAAAUUCGAACUUCGGCCUAGUGUAAAAGUUUUUGUUUUUCUGAUUUCGGGCUCUGCGAGAACUUUGAUUUCGUUUUGGAUUAUCAAUGACAAUUACCGACUUGUAAAACUAAUCAAGUAGUUUUAGGAUUAAUGAAAUCGUUUGUAAUGAGACUUUUUCUGAGAUUGGAAUGAUCCACAUGCAAAUUUUCAACAAUUGGGUGCUGCUUAGUUGAUUUAAUAGCAUGUUCUAAUGUUGUUGGAAACAUAUAGAUUUGGUAUUCUGUAGAAAAUAAUGAUGGUCAUUGAUUCUCCAUUUGCUACGAAACUGAUUUUGUUGUUUGUCUAAAGUGUCUAGAUGAGGUGCAAUCGUACAUUCUUGUUGAAAGGUCUCUCGAGAACAAAGAUGUAGCUCUUGACUCUAUACUGCACGAGUAUUUCUAUGCGGUUAGUAUCUCACUUAUUGUCUGACUGCGACUUAUAUGAAUGUUGGAUGCUAUAAUUGUUCCUAUGUUCGAAGUACUUGGGUACAGGUUGGAUGAGCUCAGUGUGAACAAAAUUUUUUGCUGCUUACAUGAAUCGGACAUUUUUUUAACCACAAACAGGGAAAGAAAAAGAAGAGGGACAUUUAUUGCUAGUGGUCUGUCUCACUUAAUUUGUCUUUGUUUCCCCCCUUCUCUUCCCUCACACAGGUGAUUAUUCACUAUUAUGUUGAACGGCAGUGCCUGCUGAAGUGCACCAGGAGUAUUCUCACACAUGCUUGUAAGUCAAUCAACAGUCCCACCUCUCCAUUUAAACUAUCUAUGGCAUCAGGAUACAUUUUUAGAGCUGUACUUCAACAACGGUUGAGAAUUGAUCAUUAAUGCAGUGUCUUUGGAAAGCGUCUCUGGAGAUGGUAAUGCUAUUAAGAAGGAAGCACUAAAGUUGAUUACUGACGGAUUGGAGGUGAAGCUGAUAAAUGUGCUGCAAGUCCUUUUCUCCUCCAGUCACCCGGAACAAAUGGUAUGCUUAAAUCCCAAUUCAAGAACGUACUCUGUUCGAUUUUGAGUCUUCUAAACUAGAUGGCAGAUAUGAUCUUACCCCUUUAGAUUUAUAAAUCCCUACUCCCUAGCGGAGCAAUUAUUGUUUUUCCCUCUUCGGGCACCCUUUUACUCUUUUCAUUCUUAUGGGAUGUGCUAUGCCAAAUUACGAAGUUCAUUGAUGUCGAAAUAACAGCUUAUUGCAUGAUUGACCAGCUUUGGCUACAAUGUCAUUAGUGGGCGAUAGGAAGCUGACACAAUGGACGAGACUGCUCUUUGGUAUUUAUCAUUUACAAGGAUUUCAUAUUGUUAUGUUAAGUGAAACUAAGGUUAUGGUGACCUAGUGGGACUGUGGGAGUCAUUGCUAUAACAACACCUGGGGGAAGUUUUAAGCCAGAUAUUAACAAGUAACAAGUCCCUACUGUCAUGCGUUGUGCAGUAGCCUAUGAAUCAUGUAUUCGGGUGGGGAAUAUCUUAUUAGCUGUCCUUGUUUUACAUUCAUAUGAGGCUCUAGGACAGAAGAGGUGGAACAAGUUUUAGCUUCAGCAAGUUGGACGAUCCUAUCAUAGUUUAUUCUGCUGACUUGACCAAUCUUAUGUCUUAUGUUUCCUUAUUUAUAUUUGAAAUUCUACGUUGAUGCCCAUGUACAAAUACGUGUCUCGACGCAUGGGUACAUGUGUGCAUGCACAUUUUUAUUGGAAUUGAAUAAUUAUGUAUUUGUUACAAAGCCUUAUUUUAUCUUGUCUGGUUGCUUUAUUAGGAUCUUGACCUUUUCACUUUGUGGGCCGAGGAGACACUAAUUGAAGACAAUUUGGUUUUGGACAUUCUUUUCCUUGCUUAUUAUGAGUCAUUUUGUACUUGUAAUGGUGAAAGGUGGAAAACUUUGUGUUUGCUCUAUAAGGUAUUUUGUUAUCUUCGUCACAUAAUUCAUUUACAAAGUACUCUCUUAUCCAGUCCAAGUCAAAACCUUUGUCCUGCAGGGAACUUUAUCUGGGUCCUAUAACUUUGAAAAUCUGGCAGUAUCAACUGAAGCGCUACGUUCUUCUUAUCAAACCAAAGUCCAGCUGCUUCUCAUCCUUAUAGAAACCCUGGACCUGGAAAGUCUUCUCCAGAUGGUUCACGAUGCAAUCCCUUUCAGGUUCUUAGCUAGUUAGGAUGCAUCUUGUAUUCAUUCUGCAAGUCAUGAUCUAGCAACACUAAAUAUCUUUGGUCAAAUUGUUGGUUUGUACAUUUAAAUAUCUAGAUUGUGGAGAUCACCUUUCUUGCACAUUACAGUGCAACAUUUUUUUUGCUUAUGUACUCAAUGAAGAUUCCUUUGGCGGAGACCAAGGGAUGAAAUGUCCUGAGGUGGAAUCCACUUGCGAGGCAGAUGCUGCGUGCAUUUAGUUUGCCUCAUCAUUAAGACAUGGUGUUGUAUUUUAGACACGACUGAGUUAAAAUAACAAGGGCGGACUUAAAUAUUGGUUUCUAUUGGGUCAAAAAAUUCUACUAACUAUGAAAACCCAAGCACAGAUGAUAUGCUCUUUUAUUAUUUAUUUUUUCAUGUGAAUGCAAUAUGAUUGAUACUUAUAUAUAAAUAAGAACCACUGACUCAUUACAAGCAAGUCUAGAAAUCUUUAAAAUAAUAUGGGCAGUCUAGGUUGAACGUUUCCAUAUCCAAACACUGAUUCCCGAUCUGAGUGAAGCUUAACUACUAUCUGAUCUAUAAGCAUGCUGUUAGCCAAGCCUGUGAUGUGAAUGUGACUGGGAAUUCAGGACAAUCUAUAAUUUUAGGUUUGCAAUCAUAGGACCAUAGGUAUACAUAUAUGCUUAUUAGUGCUGGGUAACUUUCUUUUUAUUUAUUCAAAUGAAAACUGUUAAUCUUCAUCAGUAUCAUUCCAAACAGUGGUUGAUUCCUUAGGGCUUAUAUGCUAUUGUUCACUCUAUUCUUUGUGUCCAUUUUUAAAUUGCCACUUUAUACAUCCUUAACUAUAUCCUUUCUUAUUUUCUUUUUCUAAAUGUUAGACCACUUGUGUUAUUCCUCAGGCAGGGCACAUUUGUUUUUACUUUGGCUGAUGUCCAAGAGAUGGAAGCGAUAAUUUCAACAUUCAAUGCUUUUGAAACAAAAGAAGCAGGUCCAUUAAUUCUAGCCUGGGCUGUUUUUCUUUGUCUGAUUUCAUCACUUCCAGGUAGUGAAGAGAGCAAUGUACUAAUGGUAUGUGGUUCUGCACAUAUGUUGUCUCCAAUUCCAGGCUGUAUGAAUAAUAGAAAUAAUUAAGAGAACUCUUAUUAGCACAGUAACACUCCAAAAAUCGCAUUUUGCACUCCUCACAAGUGUAUUUUUCUUUCUAAAUAUAGAAAUCUUGGAGUGCAAAAUGAGAAUUUUGGAGUGCUAAUAACAAUUCCCAUAAUUACUGUGCUUAGUUUUUCUUUUAUUUUCCAGGAAAUUGAUCAUGUUGGUUAUGUUCGUCAAGCGUUCGAGGCUGCAUCUUUGUCUUAUUGUGUUGAAAUCCUUCAAAGUGAUGUAUUGAAAGAAUCAGAUGUAAGUUAUUCUCAAUUUGUAAGUGUAUGUGUUUAGAGUGAUCAGUUUCUAGUGGUGCCCCAUAUGUUCAAGUUUUCUGCUUGCUUUUUUCGCCGCUUGGGAUCCGUCUCGAGGUGUCAACGAGUUCUGAUUUAUGUUUUGACUUUUCCAUUUUAAGAAUCAUUUUUUGGUCUCUUCCCUCACAAAGUCUUUUCAUUUCCUAAAGAGUGAUAUUUUUUGUGUCUCCUUCUCCUUAGGGGCCUGCUGAUGGGUAUCACAGUGUGUUGAGAACUUUUAUAUCUGCAUUUAUUGCAUCUUAUGAGAUCAAUCUUCAGGUAAAUGCAUAAUGGACCUCUGCUAAAACCUUGUUGGCAUUUUGUUGGAUGUAUUUCUUAUUUCUUCUGUCCUUGUUUUGUGCAGCUGGAAGAUAAAUCUCUGAAGUUAAUACUGGAUAUUCUUUGCAAAAUUUAUCAGGGAGAGGUUUGGACACGUCUUAUCUUCCAGCAUCUGUGAUUCAAUAAAAUAAUUAUUAUAAAGUUCAAAUUGCGAUUAUUGUUUGAAUAGUGUAUUUGAAAUUCUUCUGAAUUUUGCAGGAGUCACUUUGUAUCCAGUUUUGGGAUCGUGAGAGUUUUAUUGAUGGCCCUAUCCGUUGUCUUCUUUGCAGCUUAGAGGGUGAAUUUCCUUUCAGGACAGUGGAACUAGUUCGCUUUUUAUCAUCACUUUGUGAAGGAACUUGGCCUGCAGAAUGUGUGUAAGUAGACUUAUUUGGCAUGGUUGUCCAAAUUCUGGUUUUUGAUAAACAAAAUGAGUUAUAGACCUAAUCACUAUAUGGGUGUAGGGUUAAACUUUAAUUUGGUUAUCAAAAUCCUCAGUCAGGAAGUUUUUACUUUAUUAGUUGAACUUGAUAAUAAGAAGAAUUUUUGUAUCGAUUAAUUAUAAUCGAUUAUCUAAAGAAUGAAUUAUUAUGUCGUUCCCUCAUUGUUGUGUAAUCAUCCUGUCAACAGGUAUAACUUUUUGGAUAAGUCUGUGGGUAUUUCAUCCCUUGUUGAGAUUAAUAAUGGCUCCGUUGGGGAGGACAUGUCUCAAAUUGUUGAGACGCACCUCCCUCUGCUUGUUCCUGGAUUUGAAGGUCUGGUUAUUCCCAGUAAAACUUGUGGACAUGUUUUAAGAUUAGUUAGUGGAAAUACCGCUCUUGUACGAUGGGAGGUAAAUGGCUAAUUACUUUAACUAAUAUUGGUAAUUACUUUGUAUUGGUGACUUUUGUAUAUUCUAGACAAAUAUCACUAGACUUUCAACUGCUUAUAAGUGCACGGGUAUUAGGUUAUACUUUAAAGAGACUUUUCCAAUGUUAGUGCAUUUAUCUGUGUGUGUUGUUUUUCUCCUUCCUCUUCAAUGUUUUGCAAAAUGCUCUUUCUAGUGUAGUUUGAAAAUUGAAUAGUCAUUUUCAGGAGUUGUCAUGUAAAAAAUUAUUACCAUCCUCAAAAGGUUAAAUUGUUCUAAUUUUUUAUGUCUCAAUUAUACACACUACGUGUGCGACAUCAAAAUUUUAUUUCUUAAAUUAUCUUCCUUUAUCUUUUUUGAUUUUGUCUUCCUUUACUUUCUACUAGCCAUGGUUUUUUCUGAGAUAAUGGGUGACAUGUCCAUUCUUACUAAGUGGGUUGUAAAACAGUAUAUCAAGGAAAGUAAUAUAAGAUAUCCAACUGUAUUUUCAAUUAAAUUUUAUUUGGUUGCUGUUUCGUGCUAAUUUAUGCCUUUUUUGUACAGUAUAAACAAUCUGGGGUGCUAGUAUUGCUCAUGCGCCUGUCCCAGGAGCUGUAUUUUGACAGAAAUGACGAGGCUCUUCUUAUCCUUGACCUAUUUAGGCGGAUGGUUACCUUUAACACAGUAUGGUUUUCAUCAUUCAUUGCUGGAGUCUUUAUGGAUUCGAAGCCUAUUGGUUACAUCAAUUAGUUCAUGUUACAAUUUGUUGUUAACAUUUGGUUUUUCUCUAUGAAAUUUGGUGAUUUUCAUGCUCUAUUGUAUGUUUUAAAAAGUUUGAGCCAGGCACACCUUGAGGAUCGCCUCAUAGCGAGGCAUUCAGUUUUUUAUAGGGUUCCUUUUUUUAGCAUUUAUCCCAUUUAGCAUACUCUAAUUGGCUGAGGCAUACACUUUUCGUCAAGGCUUAUUCUUUUUGGGAUAAAAUGACACUUUCGAAACAUAAUAAAACAUGCCCCAAAAGGCAUAGUUUAAGGUGCUAACAGUAAAAGCUUCAGAAACACCCUUUAACUCCAAUAACCUGAUGGUAGUUUGCAUGGUGAUCUUUGUAGUGACGAUGAGGAGGACUAGAAUGUGUGAAGGGGAGAUUUUCCCUUACUGGAAUUGCUUUUUUGAUUAUAUUGUUUGGAUCUGUAUUCAAGUUUGAUGGUCUGGUUGAAUUAUAUGUUUAAUGGUUGAAUGGAAGUUGGUAAUUUUUUAUAUUUUUGUUAUUAUAGAGUUCUGAAAGGUUUAUGCCUUAACGUGUCAAGCCUAAGGCCUUGAAUCUCGAUUAAGCUGUAUUAAAUAAAUGUGGAUGCAAUCAGAACGUUGAAAUAGUUUUCCCCUUGGGUUGCCAUAAAUAUUAUAACAUUUUAUCAGCCUCCACCACCAACUUCUGACUUCUUGUGCUGUUUAGAGUGGACAGAGAAUAGUUUAGCUGCAAUUGAGCUUAACCUUGCCUUGUUUCCUUCCCCUCUUCCCUCCUCUCUUAAUUUCUUUACAUUUCUGUAACCAUCUCUUUUUUACCAAGCUUUUCGUACUGGUGUUUUAUUUAGGCGGUAUGUUUUGCUUUGAUGGACAUUGGGAGCUCAUCGCAUUUCCAAUCAACUGACAUGGGUGGACAGAUAGAAAGUAAUAUGCGGUAAUCAUGCAACCUUUUUGUUUGUGCUUGUGUGUUCCUCUUUCUUGCCUAUAUUAGCAUUUCUUGUAAUUGGCACUUUCUUGUUUUACCAUCCAGGUUGGUUGAGAUCAUUUGCACUUUGGUCAGAAAACUAUCUCCUACUUCGGGCGGUGCUGCUCUGAUGUCCGUGGGUAUAAAUAUUUUGGCAAAGAUGUUAAGAUGGUAACUUUAUCCCCUAUUCUCUUUUGAGUUGUUCUGUAUCUGUGUGUCUUUCUAAUUCAGGGUAUUUUGAUAUCCUUACUAUGUGGAAGACUCCUUUCCCAUCUAAUGCUGUGGUUUUGUGCUAUACUUAAAUUGACAGAAAAACUGUCUUUUGAAAGUUUUCAUAAAGUCUUAGUGCUAUUAUCUAAAGCCUUCAUUUAGUACAACCAUAGCAAUAAGUGAAACUGGAAGAACUAUAGAUAUGAUGGGAGCUUGUAGCUCCAGUGGUAGAGAGCCGUUAACCCCACACCCAAAUUCCAAUUCAAACCUACUCCUCCCCCUUUGAUAUCCUCUGUACCAGGAGGAAAUGCAGAUGACACACAGGAAAGCAUUCUCUUCUGAAAUAAAAAUUAAUAUUUAUUGAUAUGGUGCAAGUAUAGAUACACUUAACAAGUUGCUAGUCCAUUGCAUGCAAAAAUGCUAAAUAUUUAAUAUUUAAGUUAAUUUCUAUAUAAAAUUUUAGCCUUGUCGCAUGCAAUUGACUAGAAACUGUUACUCAAAUAUGUCUUCAACUGGAAAUGUGUUGUUAGGUACGUAUGCAUGAGAGUUUGAUGUUAUGAUUCUGAUGUUUGAUACAGCUCAUUGUUGUAGGUUUGUUUUGUUUUGGUGGAUACUUGUUCACUGUGUUUGUAACUUUGCUUUGAUAGUAACAAGGUUCUCUUUCCUCAUAAGAAAAUAAAGCUGGCGUCGAUGACUUCCCUACACUGCUAGCAGUCCUAGUUGGACAUGACAUAAUUCUUUAAAUUAAUAGUGCAAUCUUAUAUGCAAUAUUUUGAACUCUUAUAUUCUUUGUGUGAGUAAAUAAUAUAUCCCGAACUUCUGAGUGUUGUUGAGCCUAUAAUUAUUGCUUGAAUUGUUGUUGGCCUAGGCCGGAUGUGAGCACAACCUGUUUUUCUAAGAUGCAUUUAUUGUACAGUUCCCCUUCUCGUGUGUCCGAGCUGGCUUUAAAGGCAAAUAUAUUUGAUUUCAGCAAUGGCCGCAAUGAUCCAUCAAGGUGAAUCUUUGAGAAAAUAUCAGCUUUCUUUGUUCUGCUGUUAUCAUGCGUACAUAAAAAUGUGUGUUACACAUUCUUACUUUAAGUUAAUUGAGGUAUACAAUUAUCUAAAGUGGAGCUUUAUUUAAUUUUCUUAUCUCUAUUUAUUUUUCAGUGUUUUGUCUGGCAUUCUUCAUAAGACAUUUUUCGCCACUGUAUAUUGCUGGCCAAUUUGUUUUCCUGUAUAAUUGUUCGUUUGGUACUUUUUUUUCCUGGGAACGCUCUAGUUGUUUCCAGUUGUGUUGUAGAAGAUUUGUUUCUCUUUAUGGCACUUCUUCAGCUUUGCACUUUCUUUUUUUGUUCUAACCUUUUCUAUCACUUUUUUUUUUGUUUUUUGUUUCUAGUGGUUCAUGGUUUCUUUCUGGAAAACUAGCAAAGAUGCUAUUAAUUGACUGUGAGCAGAAUGAUAGUUACUGCUCAUUGACUAUAUCAGGUAUAUGUUAAAUCAUUCAUUUUGCCAUCUUCUGUUUUGCUAAGUCUUGCAUUGAUGUGCUUUUGCUGGUAUAACAUCAUUUAGUUCUAUCUUGAUUUGUUUUGUACUAAAAUAUGUUGAUACAUACAAUAAAAUAUGAAGUACUGGAUUUUUUUUUUUUUUUGGUUUUAUUUUUUAUACUUAGCUUUCUGCUUUGACACGGAUGAUUUUAAAAUGUUGCAGUGCUGGACUUUACUCUAGGUCUCAUGGAGACAGGAUUAAAAAAUGAUGCUGUCCAGGAUUUAAUUGUUUUCUCUGUUCAGUAUGUUCUUGUUAACCAUGAAUACUGGAAAUACAAGGUGAAGCAUGAUCGUUGGAGAGUAACAUUGAAGGUACAGCCUUGAUGAAAACUGAUGGGGUUCAGCCUUCUGAUUUGUGUAUAACUAACAUAAAUUGGUUUCUCUUGUGCUGGUAUUGUGGCAAGUUGGUUCCCAAUGUUUAUUUAUAUGCGUAUGGAACACACUAGGAUGUAAACUGAUGGAUUUCAGACUUUUGGUUUGUGUAUAACUAACAUAAAUUCUGAUCUGGUCUUAGUAAUUGGAUUGCGUCGUAUAUCAGCCUUAAACCGUCAAACACCGAGAAAAUUGAUGGUUCCACACAGGCACAUACAAGAGAGUAAUUUUAUUGUUCUUAAACACCUAUAGAUUUAUAGAAAUGACAAGAAAUUUGGAAAAUCAAGUUUUUUUUUUUUUUCCAUUCAUACGAGGUCAAAUCCAUUUAUUCUGCAUGCAGUUGUUAUCAUAUUUGUUGUAGCUUGUUAAGCUGUGAGUGCGAAGCCAUUUGUCUUUCGUAUACCUUCUGCAUUUGUUCUUUUAAUUGAUGUAACUUAACCAGUUAAAGAGUACGAGGCAUAUGAUUCAUGAAUCUUUCAGAUACCUUUCUAAAAUAUGAAUGAGAGUGCAGUUAAAUAGGGAAGAGGGUUUUUUUAGGAGGUGGCUGUAAAGAUUUCCAUUGGGAUGAUAAUCGCUUUGGCUUUUUUCCGUUCGUGUUCGAUUUGGCAUUGAUGCCACUAUGUGAGGCUUUAUUGUGGUGGCUAGAGUUUCGAAUUAAGGUCCUUGGAGUGACAUUCCAAUGGGAGUUAGUUCUUUUCUUCGUGAUCUUUGGUUACUUAUGGGAAUGGGGGAAGAGGAAAUCCACUGUAGAAGUAACAGUGAUCUGAGUCUAAAGGGACAAAAUAGGAAUUCAUUUGAAUGUUACUCUUUUAGUAUAUAUAUAAUUUGUCCAUGAUGUGCCAAUUGUCAAUCUCCAAUUUCCUAUAUUCCAAACUUCCAAUGAGUCGGAAGUUCAAUUUUUGGAAAUUUUGAAUGAUUUAUCUCCUUUUGUUCCUUAAUUUGAAUGAUCUUCCAGAACUGUUGAGUAGAUAACAAGCUGUUAUAGAACUAAAGUAUCUUUAGUGGAUUUACUUGUUCAAUGUUGUACUGUUCACUUCAUUUUAAUAGUGUUUAUACUGUUUGUUAUCAAAGAAAAGAAAAGCAUAAAAGAAUCAAGUUGUAAGCAUAUUUUUAAGCUGAUACACGUGAGCCCAAUAACCAAGCUUGUAAAUGAAUUCAUAUCAGAAACUUUGUCUGCAUCAAUGUGUUCCAGUUAGGGAAUUGCAGUGUGCAUCAAUGCAUGCAUGCAUACAUGGUACAGAACAUUGUUUUCUGCACCUGAAUGUGGCUUCUCAAUGCUAGUUAACUGUUUACUUAUGAAAUGGAAACUAGGUGUUGUAAAUGUCAAUUAUGGCGGGAAGGCCAAGUCCAACAUCAUUUUACUGUUUCAGGUGCUUGAAGUGAUGAAAAAAUGUAUUACAUCAAUAUCAUGCUCUGGAAAGUUGGAUGAAGCCAUCCUGGAUAGGUUACUGUCUGAUUCUUCCAUCCAUAGUACUCUCUUUCGGAUUGUUUGUACAACCACCCAAGCACUGGAGGUGGGCUAUGCUAUGUAUCUUUUAAUCUUAUUUGGUGAUGACCUGCUGUCAUUUGUUCUUAUCACUAAUUUGGGAGCAUUUUUCUGCAGAGACUUUAUUUCAGCCGGCUUGUUGAUCUAACAGAGAUUGAAGGCUUACAGAUGGCUAUAUGUUCUGUUUUAGAUAUUCUUUUCAUCAUGCUUUCUAAAUUUUCUAAGGUAUUUGGACAUAAGCUUGUUGAAUAUGCAUUUUGAUUGUAUGCGCUGUUUGAAAGACUUUUAAAGUUGCACAUGUUACAAUUUUUUGGUAUUACUUAGAUGAUGUACAGAUGUGGUGUUUUGUUUCUGUUCAAAAGUGAGUUUUCUUGAUGUACAUUACAAGUUUGAAAAAUAAAUCCCCUCUAGCUUGCUUUAAAAGGGAAAAAGAGCAGUCAACUGUAUAACAAAAUCUUGUCUGCUCUUUUCCCUAUUCUAGAGUGUUCUGUGUAGUUGCCAACUAUAUGCAUCUUUGAAUCUGUGAUAGCUAUAUUUCUUUAUUUGUAAUAUGAUGGUUGGUUUUACACGUUGUAUUUUUAUUCUGUACUGUAGUUGAUGUUCAGUCGGGUUUAUUUUCAGGAUAUAUCUUCCAGUCCUCCAUUUUUUCAUCAAGCAGUUUUCUCAUCAGCAACGAAACCAUUUCCUGUUGUUGCAGCGCUUGUGUCCUUGAUAUCUUACUUUCGCAAUCCUGUAUGGCCUCUCCAUGCUCAAUUGUUGAUUACAUUCUCUUUGAUAUGUUUCUAAAUAAUACAGUUCUCCCAGUUGGGUAACUGUGUAUUUACAUAUAUAUUAUCAAAUUACAAUGUUGAUUUCUUUAUUGUUAGUUCUGCUGGAAUAGUUCCCCAUUUACUUGUGUCCAUUAUCUAUCUAAUUAUUGUUUUGUGGGAGUUGCAUGUCAAUUUGUUUCUGUUUUAUAUACUUUGUACAACACAUGGAUUCAUAGGAAACUUAUAAUUGCAUUCAGUGGUUUGUUACUCAGACCAUUGGGCAUGAUAGGCGCGUAAUGCUGAUUUUUUUACCUUCAAACUGGCAUGCACUACUGGAUAGAAUAUAGCAUUAUGCACAUCUUAUAUGCAUUUAAUUAUGAAAAGGUUGGGCAGACUAUAAAAAUGGGGGAAUGUGUCUUUGACUCUUUGUUGACCUUAACUGAAUUGCUUGAUGGUAGGUGGGAUGGUAUUCUUAUAAUUGUUUAGCAUCUUUAUUAAGAUUCUCGAGUUCCCAACGCAGGGAAUACAAGUUGGUGCUGCUAGGGUUUUAUCACUGUUCUUGAUGAUGGCCGAUUUUAUGCAACCGUAUUUGUUUGGUAGCAGCUUCGGUCUGGAUGACAAACAGGUAAUGUUGGUUUAUGUUUUAUCUUUUAGUUCCAUGUUAAUUUCUUGUAAAUUCACUUGAGUGAAUCAACUGCUUCUAAAUCUGUUUGUGGCACUACUGAACCGUCGUAGAUUGGAGAGCUGAGGCAUUCUAUUAGUUACAUACUACUUGAGCAGUCGGAAUUGAAUGAAGAUCUCUUUGUUGCUGCAGUCAAUCUCCUCACUUCUGCUGCGCGUUAUCAGGUUUGUUACAGUAGGUGUUAAGUUCUGUAUUUUUUUAAUUGUUGGAGCAUCACUCAUAGACUUAGGAAAGAAAAGAAAGAAUGCUAAUGGUCCAGUUCCUUCCACUUAAUUUAAGGUAUCUUCACAAUUGUUUGGUUAAUGCUUCAAAAUUUUAAUUGUUUUUUUCAAUUUCUUGGAAAAAAAGUACUUUUAAAUUCUGUGUUUACAUACGAGCUUAUCGUUCACAAAUAUUUAGUUAGAUUGGCAAGCAUUGUGUUUUAGCAAUCGAUUGCCCUAAUUUACUUAACUCUGUUUCUUUGAAGUGAAUGCUGCCUUGUCAACUUCCAAUUUUAUUGCUUGAUUAGUAAGAAAAAUUUAUGUUGCAAAAAAAAAAGAGAAAAAAGUGUUUUAGAUUGAUUUGACCCAACCAAAGAACUAGUUUUUUUUUUUUUUCUUUUUUUUUUUUUCCAAAAAAGAACUAGUUAAUUGGAUUGCAUUGUAUUUGUGUGCAUAUGGUGGCAAUUUUAAUGCAUUUCCUUGCCAAAGCAAACUUUUGUAGUUAUAGUGAAACCUUUCCCUGGAGUCCUCCACUAUGUGGUUUAGCUUUUUCUUAUUUAAUUGUUUAUUCAUACAGCCUGCUUUUCUUGUUGCUGUAUUACCAACCAAAGCGAAUAAGGAUGUCCAACUGAGUAAUGGUGGCGGUGUGAAGCUGCCAACAAAUGAUUUUGAGUCUGAAAAGGCAAGCGCUGUUCAUGCAGUUUUGCAUCACAUUGAAAGAUCUAAUAAUCUUAUCAACAGGUACUUAGUCCUGAUUGAAUUCUCGAUUUUGUUUCUUAGUCAGUUACUUUCCCUUUCAUCAUUUACCUUGCAGUCCUGAAAAUUCUGCAAUUUUUUUUUUCUGAGAUUGAUAUGAUCAUAUCUUGAAUAGUCGCAUUCAGUUUGAACAUUUUUUUUUUUUUUCUAAAUCUGCAGCAAUCCCCGAAUACUGCUGAAUGUUCUUAACUUUCUAAGGGCGCUGUGGCAAGGUGCUGGUCAGUACACUAAUAUUUUGGAAUGCCUGAAAAGCUCUGAAAAUUUCUGGAAAAAAUUGUCCGGUCCUAUUUCGAUAUUUUCUAGUAUGCAAGCUCCUCCACCUGAAAAUGCUGAGACAGAAGUUGAAGAUUUGUCGGUCAGAUACCAGUGCCAAUCUGCCAUAUUGGAAAUAAUAGCGCAUGACAUGUUCCUGCACAAAAAGCUGUUACAUGCGGAGUCAUUUGUAAAACAGCUGCCUGAAUCACAACAAAAUACAGUAAGAUCAGAAAAAUCAAAAGCUGCAGAUCUUGAAGAUAUUUUAUCAGCCUGGUGUGGGAGCUCUGUUUUGGGCAAUCUGACCAAGUCACUUACCUAUUGUGAGUAUGACCCUGAGUUGUAUUUGCGGGCGAAGGUAAGUUCUAGUUAGAAUUAUUUUCUCUACGAGUCUGCUAAUUUUAACUUGUGAAUUUUGUCUGUGGUUUUGGUCCUGGGGUUUUCUUCACUUUGGUUGGCUAUUUAUCACGUAUGAUUUCAUCUUCAUUCAUUCUGUGCGUUUUUGUUGGUUGCAUUAUGUUUUAUAAGUUGAAGCAUUUAGUGUUCCGCUGACGUUCCCUGCUCUAGGAAAGUCCUUUUUUGUAUAAAAAGUUUCUCGCUUAUGCAUUGCUCUGUUCAAUCUGCUGUAUGACAUACAUUAGUACUAACUUAUAAAUGAAGUUGUUCCUUGAUAGGAUGUCAGACUUUUUCUUAUAGGUUCUUAAUUUUUAGAAUGCAGUAUUCAUACCUCUGUAACUUAACAGGUUGCUGCGAGUGUAAUAACUGCUCGUGUGAUGGUAAACUUAUCAAUUGGUGAUGCAGGAAGUUUGUCUGUGUCAUUACUUGAGAAGUCUAGAAUCCUGUCAAAUAAGGUUCGAUCCCUUCUUGAUUGUGUUAUUUAAUUUGUAAUCCAAGAUAAUUGUAUGUUGAGAAAUCCAUUAAAGGUUCAGUUUAGUUUCUAAUUUCAUAGAUUCUCAUAUUUAAUACUUUCCGUUUUAUUAAAAUUGAGAUUGUAAAAUUUGCAUCAUAUCUGAUUGCUGUUACCUUUCUUUUUACCCUUCUUCAUCGGCAGCUGAGAAGUCAUCCUGCUUUUUCUGAAUUGUUAGCUCAAUACUCACAGCAUGGUUACAGGUGAUAUGUUUACUAUUGUUAAUUUCUGUUGGAAUUUCUAUACUUAGCACCUCCACUUUUGAACAAGGCAUUUUUAAGUCAACAAACUGCCUCUAUACGGCCUGAGGAUUCUGGAUAUUUGUAACUGUCCCUACUGGUAAAUGUUUUCUUAUAGUGAGAAAACAGUCCUUCCUGUGGUAUGAAUGAUGUGUGAAACUUUAAUUUUGAGUCCCUGAAGUUAACAAAGUAUAAGUAAAGCAUUUAGUUACUGAACCUUGGAAGAGUUAUUCAAUGCUUUUGUCAAGAUGUACGGUACAAUUUAUUUUAUUUUAUAUUUUUUUCAAAACAUUACAAAAUAUUUUUAUUCUCUUGCCUGUAUUCAUAUUCCCUGUAUGUCGAUUGACUACAUAUCAUCAGCCCAUUUUGUCGCGUUCAGUAGUUAUAUUUGGAUCCGUUUGUGUGCAUGUGCUGUCAACUUUAUGCAUGUGCAUGUAACAGUGUUUCUUUUUGUUAUAAUGACCGUAUAUGAUGAACAUCCCCCCGUGAUCUUAAAGUUGAUACUGUGUUCUAGUAUUUGACAAACCGUUUAAGUGGUGACAUGCAAUCAUAAGUUUGGGUGGUUCAAUUUGCAUAGGCUUUGAAGACCAUAUUUGAUUUUUGUUAUUUGUUUAACAUAUUACUUUUUUAAUAAGAUGUGUUAUAUCUCAUAAGAAUGCUGAGAGUACCACGUGAGGAAAUGGAAGCAAUGAAUAUUGCAUGAUAAGUAUGUGCCUAUGUAUGAAUAAUAUAUUAUCUUUUUUCAGUGCAGGGAAGGAGCCAAACUAUUUGAUACUUAGUGAUCUCUAUUAUCAUCUGCAAGGAGAGCUUGAAGGCCGUGAAAUCAGUGCUGGACCAUUCAAAGAACUCUCUCGGUUCCUGAUUGAAUCAAAUGUUUUUCAGACUUACCAACACAAGGAUGAUGGUGAUCUUUUUGUAACUGGAAGAGAGACAUACUUGUUUGAUCUUAAACGUGUACGUGCUGAUUUGGGGUUAGAUCUUUGGGAUUAUUCAAAAUGGAAGGAGUCAAAGGCAACUGCAGAAACAAUGUUGCAUCAUAUGAAAGCUGCAAACUCAAUGGCGUUGCUAACAAGUUCGAAGCUUUCUGCACUGAAAGCAUUAAAAAGUGUCUUAACUGUUUACGGUGAUAAUGUAAGUACUCUCUUAGAAUUUCUACUUGCUUUCAGUUGCCUUCUCAUUGUUAAAAACUUGAUCUGUAACUGCUAUUUAUGGUUGGAUAUUUUAACGAUCAUGCAGAUGUAAAAGAUGUAAUGGUUUAAAACAUGUUACAUCUGAUGCUAAUUAAAAACAAAUGUUGAUGUGUAAUAUUUUACAGAACCUGUAAUUUUUGUGUAUAAACUAUUUCAAACAUCUGAUUUCUCAUUUCAAAGAUUUUGGAAGUUGAACAGCAUUAGUGACAAUUUAGUCUUAUGAACACUACGCUAUACCUUGUGUCAAAGGUCGUAUGGAUUUUUUUUUACGAAUAUAUUAUUUCUUUUGAAACUAAUUCAUGUGUGCCUGCUACUGCAGUCGCUGGAGACGAAGAGUACAGCGAGACAAAUCCCUGAUCAACUUGUUUUUUCGUGCAUAGAUCACGUAUGCCAGAGUUUCCACGACACAGUAGAAUCAUUAGCUCCAGUACCUGGUGCUUCUGAAGAUGUCUUCCACUUCCUUGCGGCUCAAGCAGAAUUGCUUCUCUAUCUAAUGAUGUAUGCACAUAAAAGCCUGCCUCUGUCUGUUUGCAUUCUUGUACUAAAAACAUCAGGUUCUGGCCUUAAAGCGUUGAGUGAUUUCAGAGCAUUAGUUACGGGGCCAUCAGAUAUGGGGGUUGACACUGCAGUAAGGCUCUUACUUAUGUUGCUUCUCUCGGCGGUGGAGUUCAGUUGUCAUAAGUCGCAUUUGGUUGGGGCAAGAGAUGUAGCUUCUGUCGAAGUUGCGGCUAAAAUAUCUAAUGUGAGUCUUAGUCUACUACCAGUUCUCUGUAACUGUACUGCUACUGUUGAGCACGGAACCCUCUCCCUAACUACUACGGACUUGAUACUUAGAAAUUUCUUGACUCCCAGCACUUGGCUCCCCAUUAUACAGAAUCACCUCCAGCUUCAGCGCGUGAUUCUGAAGCUUCAAGAUAAAGAUUCUCUUGAAUCUGUGCCUGUUAUAAUGAAGUUCUUUCUGACUCUUGCCCGUGUUAGGCAGGGUGCAGAAAUGCUUAUUAAUUAUGGCUUUCUCUCGUCUCUGAGAUUCUUGUUCGCUGAAUACUUGGAUGGUAUGUCUUCUUCCGUAACUAUUGAUAACAGAAAUUCCAACUCAUCAUCUGAGAAACUGGAAAAGCCUCAGCAAAUUUGGGGACUUGGUUUGGCAGUCAUCACAGCUAUGGUUCAGUCGUUAGGAGACAGUUCUGCUUGUUCUGAUCUUGUGGAGAAUGUAAUACCUUACUUCUUUUCAGAGAAAGCCUAUAUGAUUUCUUACUAUCUUAGUGCUCCGGAUUUCCCAUCUAAUGAUCAUGACAAGACCAGACCUCGGGCUCAGCAGAGACAAACUUCUCUUUCUGAUCUUAAAGAAACUGAGCACACUCUCAUGCUAAUGUGUAUGCUAGCAAAACAUUGGAAUUCCUGGGUUAAGUGCAUGAAAGAAUUGGAUUCUCAGUUGAGAGAGAAAAGUAUCCAUCUUUUAGCUUUUAUCAGUCGGGGAACUCAACGGCUUGGAGAACCUUCGACUCUUAGUGCCCCUCUCUUAUGUCCUCCUGUCCUUAAAGAGGAUUUUGAUGGCUGCAAGAAACCCUCAUUUAUCAACAGUAAAAGCGGAUGGUUUGCUCUUUCAGCCCUCAGUUGUGUGUCAAAACCAAAAUUCUCGUCCAUCCCUACCACAUCUACUGCGCUGAUUAUGAAAACUCAAGCAUCUGUAAAUGGCAAUCACAUUUCUCAAUCAUACUUCUCCGACUCUAUUGCCGUACAGAUCUACAGAAUAACUUUUCUCCUUCUAAAGUUCCUCAGCUUACAAGCUGAGGGUGCUGCUAGAAGGGCAGAAGAGAUUGGCUUUGUUGAUCUUGACCAUUUUCCUGAGCUUCCAACGCCUGAGAUCUUACAUGGCUUACAGGUACGAUGAUAGUUUUUGUUCUUUGACUAGCUUUUUGUUUCAUUAUGUAAAACAUCUGGUCUACCAUAACUUGUAAGUUUCGAGUUGAGGUUCCUUUUUAACAUGGAUGUGUUAUUAUCUCCGAUGUAGGACCAAGCAAUUACAAUUGUUACGGAGCUGUGUGAGGCUAACAGAUCAAACGAGAUUCAAAUCGAAGUCCAGAGUAUCUGUUGCUUACUGGUACAAAUAAUGGAGAUGGCCUUGCACUUGGAACUCUGUGUUCUACAGAUAUAUGGCAUAAGACCUGUAUUAGGGCGUGUGGAGGAUUUUUCAAAGGAAGUUAAACUGUUAAUAAAAGGUAAAACUCCAUUUCUCUGAAUACCGCCUUCCAUUUGCACUGAAUUCGUCGUUUCUUACCAAGUUAUUGCACAUUCAGUGAGUACUCAUUUUUUCUUGUAAUGUGUUUUGUAGCGACAGAGAGACACGCUUUCCUCAAACCAUCUGUGAAGUCCUUGAAACAGAUCGUAUCAGUCAUUUAUCCAGGACUGUUACAGGCCGAUGCGUUUCUGUGAGAUAAUCUUGUGCAUAUAGGCGAAAACCGAAGACUGUAAGGCUUCGGAAGAUAAUGUAAAAACUUUGUAUCUCUCAGAUGAAUGGCUUCAGAAAUAUUCCACAUUUUGCUUAUAAAAUUGUGGGAUUUCUUUCGGCCAUUCCAUUUUGUAUGUAUUGAAUUCCUUUCGAGAAAGAUGUGUUGUAUGAUUGAUGGGCAAGAUUUUGUUGAAUCCGUGGCCAUUUAUCAUUGUCGCGUGCGAAUUUUCUGUCCUUCCCUUUUCCAAAAGGUCCUCCCUCCAUGCUUGAUGGUAUGAUGGGUGUUUAUCAUUGUUUUUGGUACUAGUGGGACCUAACAUGUAUCUUUACCGUGGCAUUGCAUGUAAUUUUGGAAAAGUAUUUUUGCGAAGUGUCGCGGUUUCAUUGCCUUUCUCUCUUUAUUUCUUUCCUCACGUGAUUUAGAGUUACAACAAAUUUAAUGAAAUUUGAUUUCAAGGGUAAAAUAAGCAAGUUAGUGUUUUAAGUUGUUAGAAUGGUGGUGGUGAGCUUGUUAUUCAAGGUGUAAUAAUGGCUAAAAGAAGCAACUUAUCUAGAACAAAAUGAUGGGAUUGUUGAAGCAAUGCUCGUUAUGGGACAUGUUGCUUAGUAACUGUCACGUAUUGAGUGUUGGGAGAAGAUAUGGCCAAGCACUCAACCAAAAUUACCAUACAUGAUCACUAGUUCUAGAAGAAAUUGGAAUAAUUUGAAGAGAAUCCCCCAACUUUUGUAGAGAAAGUGCCCUCCUCUUUUUGGGAACAAUGACCCUAUAAAAGCAUAUUUGACUUGGGAUUCAUAUUUUCCAUUGGCAUCUCCAAUGGUGUAGGUAAAUAAAAUAGACAAACUAUCCUAUAAUUAUUGACGUGGUGAGUUGGCCACUCAAUUGCGACAUAGAAAAAAGUUUUAUCACUUCAAUAGAAUAGUUAAAUUAAGUAGGCAAAUUUUAGUUUAUUUCAUAUUUAACAUCUACUUUUAUAUUUUAUUUUAUAUUUUUUCCCUUUACAUGGAAUACUUUAUUAUAAAAAAUAGUGAUGCGGGGCACAUUUGCCUAUAAUGUUGAAAGCAGAGUUCUAAAAAAUGCUAGGCGCUAGUCGAGCACUAGGCGUUAGUCGGGUGAUGUGUUAAGGCCUAGGCAAAAUUAAGUUAAUUAAUUAUAUAUUGUAUAAAUAAGUGCUUAUUUAUUCUUAAUAAAAUACAUAAUUGUUUUGGGAUAUAUAAAUUGUAAAAUAAAAUGACAUAUAAAUUAUAAUGUAAAGUAUAAAGUAUUAGAACAUAUUAAAAACAUGGAAACAAACAUAUAAUAAAUGUUCAUCUAAAUAUUCAACAAGUUCUUACAUUUUAUUGAAAAAUAUCAAAUGCAAAAUGAAAGUUAUUGGUUUUCUGUUUGAAUGAGAGUCAUGACCUAGGCAGGUCUAGGCGAGCGUCUAGGCUGACUAGCAGAUGCAUAAGCGGGUAUAAGCACCCUUUCUUAGUUUUCAAACAGUUAGGGAUUAAUCGGGACGGUAGUCAGUCGCCUAGACGGCACUAUGCAGAGUUUUUUAGAACAUUGAUUGAAAGUAGUGAAAAUUGCCUACUUUGUAACUUGUGAGUACAUGCAAAAUUUGCAUACGAAAUUGACCACAUCAUUGGAGCAGGUUUUUACCUACGUGAUUGUGGCUUAUCAAAAUAGAUUUGACUAUCUAUUUGCCUACUCCAUUGAGAACCGACUAAUCUUUAAUUUAAUCUGAUUGUUUUUUUUUUUUUGUCAAAAUAAAAAUAAUAUUAAAUACAAAUUGAAAUGUUUAGAUAUCAACCCACGUUUUCCCGGUUGGUGGAUCCAUGCUCCAUGGAUAUACAUUAAUUUAUCCCUUCUUUUUUUUUUGGGCGCAUAAAGAUUGGCCCCCCGAUCCGUAAUUUCAGAUCUUUUGGCUUCACAUAUUUGUUGGCAUCUUAUUAACCCUCGUGACAUCUCCACCGUUGGAUCUGCUCCAGAUGAGGGUCGGUAAAACCAGUCAAAAUUGUCAGUGUUUCACUUUUUGAUUGAAGAGCAUGCGUGCCACGUGUGCCUCAGCAACAUGACCAACCGGCCCUCUUCCAAACGGCGUCGUUUCUCUCCUGAGAUGUCGACGAACCCUUAUCCGGAUAAUGACAAGAGCAUAUACCUACUUCAGUAACUUCACUCGGCCAUGGGUCCCCAUAACUUAACCACGGUUAAAACCCCGACCCAACCACGGUUAACCCAUCCCCUUUCGGAUUCUCUCCACGUGUUCCCAUCCAACGGCUGAAAAAGGCUUGCCCUGGAUAUCCAUCGCAGAAGCCCUUUUAUAAACACCCUCGUCCUCGUGACCUCGUCCACGCAUCACAAACCCUAAUCGUACUCUCUUUCCCCAAAUCACUCCUCUCCAACGAACCAAUCAAACCCUAGCAAUGGCAAAUCCUAAGGUUUUCUUUGACAUGACGAUCGGAGGCCAGCCGGCCGGCCGCAUCGUGAUGGAGCUCUACGCCGACACCACCCCCCGCACCGCUGAGAACUUCAGGGCUCUCUGCACUGGCGAGAAGGGCGUCGGCCGCUCCGGCAAGCCCCUCCACUACAAGGGAUCCGCCUUCCACCGCGUGAUCCCCGGUUUCAUGUGCCAGGGAGGUGAUUUCACUGCCGGAAACGGCACCGGAGGCGAGUCGAUCUACGGCGCCAAGUUCGCGGACGAGAACUUCAACAAGAAGCACACCGGACCCGGAAUCUUGUCCAUGGCCAACGCCGGUCCCGGAACUAACGGAUCUCAGUUCUUCAUCUGCACCGCCAAGACCGAGUGGCUCGACGGCAAGCACGUGGUGUUCGGGCAGGUGGUCGAGGGGCUCGACGUGGUGAAGAACAUCGAGAAGGUGGGGUCUGGACAGGGAAGGACCUCGAAGCCGGUGGUGGUCGCCGACUGUGGCCAGCUCUCCUAGACGAUGCCGUUUCGGCUGCUCAUCUGUGGAU
rnacentral:lncRNA from 1 species